UAAGCGCUUCUCGAAUUCUUUCCUCCUUGCAAAGACGGCUGAUAAGAACACUAUAUGCGUAUACAUCGGGUGAAAUUCCACUGUUAAGCAUGCAAAUCAAGAAGCUCUUGGCUUUUUCAAACCUCCCCGAUUGGCACAAUGCAUAAAGUAGAGUGUUAUAGGUGACAACAUCUGGCCUGACUCCUUGAUCCACCAUUUCUUCAAACAGAGAGAGCACUUCUUCCCAGCGACUCAUGUUGCAUAACCCAUGAAUCAAAGUGGUAUAAGUGAUAAUACCCGGUACAACACUUUUGUAGAUCAUAUCUCUAAAUAGGGUCAAGGCCUCAUCUAUUUGUCUUUCCUUACACAGGCUAUCUAUGAUGGGAUUGUAGCAGUCUUGUUUGGGCUUGAACCUUCCAUCUUCCAACAUAUUCGUAAGUAUCUCGAGUGCCUUAGAAGUUUUCCCAGCCUUGCAUAGUCCAUUGAUCAUGGUAGCAUAAGUGAUUUCAUCGCAUUUGUAUCCCUUCUCUUCUAUUAACUUGAACAGCUCUAUUGCCUCGGCCCAGGAACCGUACUUGCAAAGCCCGUGAAGUAAAGUGUUUAUAGAAUGAGCAUCGGGUUGAAGACCACAUUUAAGGGUAAUUGCUAAAACAGAGAAACCCAAAUCCACCCGGUUUAGAUGGCACAAGCAAUUCAGAAAAAUAUUCAUUGUACAGACAUUAGGUCGGAAUUGAGCACAACCCAUCAACUGUUUACACAUAGAAACGACAGCAGAAUAUUGCUUCAUCUUGGAGAGUGCCCCCAACAAACAAUUGAAAGUCCAAAUGGAGGGCAAGGGUUUGGUUUGAAUCAUGGAAUUAAAGUAACCCAAUGCUUCAUCUUUCCUAAUUUUUCCAGAUUUGCAUCGAGUUUGGAUCAUACUCUCCGAUUCCAAAUGGGUUUGUUCAAUUCUAUCCGUACAGGUAGGAUUAGCACGAACAGCGUUGGAAUGAAAUCCACUACUUGGAUUCUGCAGAAAGGUAUAAAUGAAAGAAGGAAGAUUACCUGGAGAUGGAGGUCUUGUGGUUAUCCUCUUCAUCUUCAUUUGAAAGCUCUCUACUGUUUUUCUUGGUGUUCGAGGACGAUUUUGGUAUAAGGGCAAGGAUUUGGCUCCAUUUGAGAGCUCUCUCCUGUUUUUCUUCUGUUAGUUUUCAGUUCUUACAAUUCUUUGUGAUUUUCGUUAACGGAAAACUAUUCUGCAUAGCUAAGGCUAGGAGGAAACCUACACUAUAACCUUGUACUUUUAUUAUUUUGAUUUUAUUUUGAAUUUUCGCGGAAUUUUACAUUGUGGAUUUCCAAUUAAAUUUCUUAUUUAAUCUAAUUUCAGAUUGAUGAAUAUUGAUUAUGAUUCAUAGGAUAUACCAUGUUUUUAUUAUAGUUUUGUUUCAACAUUCAUGCUUUUAGUGAAAUGUAUAAAUUGGUUGUUUGGUAUGAUUUUGACGGCAUAGUUUUUUUUUAUAUUUUGUCUUCGUAGGUAUAAACUAUUCUUAGGAUUUUGAGUAAAUUGUAACAAUCAUCCUUUAACUUUAACUCAAUUUGAGCAAUGAUCCCUUAACUAAACAUCAAUUACCAUUAGUCUCUCAACUCAUCAAAACGUGCAGAUAUGGUCCCUCAACUAAAAAUUCAUUACCCUUGGUCUUUCAACUUUAAUCCAACUGGAGAAAUUAUCUCUCAACUUUAAUCCAAUUGUAGUUUUAGUCCUUCCAACAUAACUCAUUUUGACAAAAUUCUGACGAAGUUGAUGAAAAUGACCAUAACUACACGUUAUGAUGAGUUACGGGACCCCAAUUGUAGCAAUAGUUUUUCUAACAUAAUUCAUUUUGACAAAAUUCUAACGAAGUUAAUUAAAAGGACCAUAGUUACACAUUUUCAUGAGUUGAGGGACCAUAAUAAUGAACUUUUAGUUGAGGGAUCAUUGCUCCAAUUUGAUUAAAGUUGAGGAGUCAUUGCUACAAUUUACUCUUAUUUCUAUAAGAAAUCUAAAGGGCUUAUAUAGUUCGAAAUCCAAAAUGGAGAUUUAAUCACCAAAAGCUUUUAUAUUGAGAAAACUUAAUUGUCAUAUCCUUCGGUUUUUUAUUUCUUCGGUCCCUUCAGCGUCAAGUGCUCCUAAUUUUCUAGAUUUUAGGUGUUUCUCCUUUGGAUUUUUAGAUGUACAAGAGUAGAAACCUUCCGUACAUAAGCUUCACAUCCUCCCUCAACAAUUUGUGUGUCUGUUUGUCGAAAUUAUUCAUGUCUUCCUAUGUUACGGUUUAAAAAAGGAUUUUGAUAUUGUCCCCAGUCAAUCUGAGGGUUCUAUUUGAUCUCUAAGAAUUGUGGGAAAGAACAGGCAAAUGCAUCUAGACGGGUGGUUUGGUGGUUAGGAGACUUGGAGGGCCAAUGGAGGCAGUCUAUUCUUGCCAUAUUUUAUUUUUUAGGUUAGUAUAUGCAGCUUUAAAUAAAUGAUGUUAUAUCAUCACAAUCUCAUUGCUGGAUUUUAUUCAGCGUUGGUUUCAAUAUGAUAGUAUCAUAUUUAGACUCAAAUGCUAAUAGAUUAUGAGUGGUUUUUAAUCUUUGAUGAUUUGGCAUCUGGUUUUAUCUUUCUUAUGUUGUUUUUUUUAAUUAAAUUUUUUGGAAUUUUCAGAAUUUUGGGUCGUUGGAGGCAAAAUUUGGUUGCUUACUUGACACGAUGAGGUAUAUAAUUAUACACCCAAUUGACUUUGAUCUUUAUGUUUUUAAUAAUUGAUAAAGAGUAGUGUUAAUAAUUGAGAAAUCUUAAGAGAUUUGUUUGGUUUUGAAAUUCCAUCAAAAGCUAUGAUUUUUGUGCGAUUGAUUUUGUGAGGGAGAUAAGACACUACUUUCUAAUUUGGUUUUUUCUCCCUCCAUUUUCAAAUUCCUUCAAAAUCUUGCAAUUUGCCUUUCUAAAUUAGCUUAAGAGUUUUCAUAAAAUUGAAUACUUCGUUAAUUUGAUCAUUGAGAUUGGUUCUGAAAUUCCAAUUUGUUUAAGCAAUGACAAAUUAGGAUUGGUUUUUAAAUUCCCCAUUCAGAAAUACAUAGCAAUUUCAGCUACAAUUUGUUAAGCAAAUACAUGGCUAAUAAUUAACGUCUGUUUACUCUAAAAAAAAACCUUUCCCAAAUCCUCAAAUACAUAGCUAAUUCAAUUAAACGCACAUUUGAUUGCUGCAAUCAAUGUCAGAUAUUCCUUGGGAGUAAGCAUUGUUAAAUUUUAAUUGCAAAUGGCAGCUGAAAUUAUCUUAUUUAUUACCACUAUUGAUUUGGAUAUGUAAUACACAAUGUUUAGAUCAUUUGAUCGGUACUUAGUUAAGUUUAAUACUAGCGGUUUGGCUAUGAUUAAAUUGAUCCGGUCUUGAAUAGUGUGGCAUGUGAGAUGAUAAUAGACUAACAGAGGAAAAGGAGUUGAUGCAUUUGUGUUUGAUUUACAAAUUUUGGCAAAUCCUUGCCAUUUUUUUGGUUUCCUGGUGAUUUAUAAUUAUCUUCAUAACCAAAAAGCGAUAACUUCGAGUUUCUAGAAGUUUUAAUGUGUUUUGCGUUCUGCAUUUUUGUAACGUUCGUACAAGUUGUCACUAAGAUCUUUUGGUUUCUAGCUACUUUAGUUUUUCAGCAUUGAAUUGUAGGUUAGAGUUUUUGAUUGAGUUCUUAUUUAAUUUCAUAUUGGAAUGGGUACAAUAUGAGCACUCCUAAAAUUGGAAAGUUCUCCGAAGAUUGCGAGUAUGGUUGUGUCAUAUAUGGUUUAUUGUCCAUGCAAGGAUGGCGUACCACAAUGGAGGAUGCUGUGAGUGCAUUAAACUUUUCUCUUCCUAUUUGAAGUUGUUUUCAGAACAUAAGUUCUGUUAUGUCCAUUUUCAGAAGUUUCUACUGUUGUAUCAUUUUCCGUCUUUAUUUAGCAUGCUAUAGUUUAGGAUUUCACUAAAUAUGAUUUUACUUGACAUGUUCAAAUUCUCUUAAUCAUGUUCUUGAAUUUUACUAUAUGUAUCGUGUUCUUUGUAUUUCAUUAUCUGAACUCUGUUAUUUGAAUUUGGUUACUUGAAUCGUGCCUAAUAUUUGAUGUGGCCACUGGCUUUGUAUGGUUGGCUGGUGUGCUUUGAGAGUGUUUUUAGUCAAUGGGAGACGGAGGAUAAAGGUGUGGGGCAGCGAAGUCAAGUGGGAUUUGGAAUUUAGGAUGGUAGAAUUUUUGCUAAUUUAUGGGAUUAGAAGUCUUCCUUUAUUUUUGUCUUGGUGUGAUCAAUUGCAACAAAGAAUUUUCAUUAAAUUGAGGCAGUGAACCUACUAAUUUUCAACUGUUGUUUAUCUACAAUCUUCUCCAUUCUCUUGGACCAAACAUGAAAUCCCAAACACCGUAUCACCACAAAGCAAGCAAGCUGAAAAGCAAACCAACAAACCUUUUUUCAGAGGCACUUAACAGAACCUUUCUAUGGGUUAAUUGUUGUUUCAAUUAUACCGGAUUGAAAACGAGUAUGGAACCAUUGGUCAAGCAUAUGGGGCUGUUGCUUCUUUUUCUCAGGGAAAUAGAGCAUACUAGAAAGUUUUGCCCGCGCGUUGCUGCGGGAUUGGAAAUUGUGUGAAAAAUUAUGUUUUACAUGUAUAAACACAUCAACUUAUAUCACAUGUAAUUAAAUCAAGCAAUCUCUAAACAUGAGAAAUGGAUCUUAGAAAGUAUAAACCCUACCUCAUAAUAUUAAUACAAUUAACAAAUUCCCAGUGCAUGAUCACAAAAAGGUAUAGAAAAGUAAUUCAAUUUCUAAAUUUCAAAAAUGGGAAAGAUAAAUUUAAAAAUAAAAAAAAAGGGUCUAGGGUUUAGGGUUUAGGGUCUAAGUUCUCAGUUCUCACCAUAACGAAAAUUAUGAUCUCAUUUUAACAUAAAACUCAGGUUUUAUUUCGGUCACCAGCAUUAUAAAGCUAGUGAUUUCAACUUGUGCAAGCAAACAACUGAAUUAGACGUAAGCCUAACUUCAAUUUAACCAAAUAAAAAAAAACAAUCACGAUCAAACUAACCACUCUUAUUCUCAUAUGUAGAAGCUAUCCUUUGUUUUGCCUUUGUGAGCAGUGCACUUUCCAUUCUCUACACACAAAAUGAUCAGCAACAUUAAAAAACUUAAUAAAUUGUAUGUAUACAUUACUAUAUAUGUAUUUGGACAUAAAGUACAAAAAUUUACUAACAAAUUAACAAAAGAAGUAAUUAUGAAUUGGAAUUAAAUGAUAUUAUAGUUGUUAAAAAAAUACCUGACCAAGUUUUACAAAUAGGAUCAUAAAUUGUUAAAAAAAAUAACUGCACUGAAAUAUCUAAUUACUCAAAUCUAUAAUUCUAUUAAAACACAUCACUGAAAACCCCAAGGAGAGGUGAAUAUUCCUAACCUUGCACAGUUAAAUUUGCAUUUUGUUUGAGGGGAGAAAAAUGAUCAGAACUGAUAAGUCAAUAGUUAAAUAGGUUUACUCUGGUGUCAAAUAUUUUUUAAUACAUACAUAAUGUUGUCUAUUUAAAUCAACAUUGAUUCUUGCAUACCUUCGGUUAUAUAAUGUUUGGAGUUGAAUGUAUAUAUACCCAAAUGGGAAUAAUUCUUUAUCCGAAACUUAGAAAAAACCAACUCAUCCGAGAACGCAAUGGAACUUAGCUGCAACUCCAAUUUAAUCAAUGUCAAUUAUUAUAUUGAAACAAUGUGAUCAAACUUAAUCAAAACUCCAAAUCCACCAAAAGUUUAAAUUUCUUACCUUGAGUGCUUCAGAAAACGACGGCAUUCUAGCCUGGAAAUAAAAUCCCCAAAAUCAGAAAAAUGAAAUUUGCACAGAAUCUUUGGAGGCCAAUUUCGUGAAUAUUUUGCAAACUAUUAGAAAUCCUAUUUAAAAUUUUACUCACGUUAUCAACAAUGCCAGCCUUUGCCUCAUCUCUCCUUUUACGUUGGCUUGUAUAAGUUUGUUUUCAAUAAAACCCUGUAAGAAAGGGAAAGUAGAGGAAAGUUUAAUGAUAUAAACAAAUAAUAGAACAGAUCCCAUAAGUUCCCUAAAAUGAAAGCUACAAUAUGCACAAAAUGUAACUAUUAGUAAUAAUAACCAAUGUAAUCAAACAUGAAUAAAAUGGUAUCGUACAAUUGUGUUCUUUUUCAUACAGCUCUGAGGUUGAGUCUUAUGAAAUGGCAAGUUUGAUACAAAUUAUAUUUCCGGAAAAAAUUCCUCUAAUCAGAUUAUCUACCCGCUUGACUUCAUCUUCAAUAGCAUCAUUAAGAUCUCAUUAAGAUCCACUACAUUCUCAAACAGGGACAUUGCCUUGGCAUUCUCUUCAUCCUGAAGAGUUUAAUCAUGAUCACAAUUCCGAACUCCAAGUCAAUCAAUUAUCUACAUCAAUGGACUAAUAAAGUGUCCAAUAACGAUAAAAAGUACCCACCUUGACUUUCUUGAAUAUAUCUUGGAAUCCCAACUCCCUAAGAACUUGCUCCCGAAGUCUGCAAAGAAGCUGGAUUUCCCAAACACAGCAGGUAAAAAAAAGAAACUUAAAUGCUAAGAAAACGAUGCUGCGAUAAAUCAUGACUACAACAUAAUAGAAAGUGAGAAAUCAACUCAAAUCAAAAUUUUGAGCUUACAAUGCAAUCCGGCGGGCCGCUGUGACUCUCAAGAUCCUUCUUCAAGUCCUCCAGUAUCUCAGUGUACCUUUCAGGCAAACACAUAAACAAAUUGCGGGCAUUUCCAAAAACCCAAUUCACUCAUCACAAAAAAAUCAGUAAAGUGUGUACCUCUGAGCAAAUUUCUCAGGUCUGGCCGGAGCGUCGGGAACCGAUGCGCCAGACUCAGCUCGUUUCCUGCCGAAAACCAAUCAAACCCAUUAACGAAAAACCCAAGAAAUUAAGGUUUAUGAUGGAGGUUGGGGAAAUGAUGAGGAUUAUCACUUGAAGGAGGGGGUGGAGUUGUAGAAGAGGUCGAUCCAAGAGAGCUCAGUGGAAGUGGGCUUUCGGGAAUUGUCGGAGGGAAAUCUGUAGGGGAUGGUGCAGGCUCUGUAGUUGAAUUCGAUCGGCAUCGUCAACAGUGGAAAUAAAGAGUGAAUUAGAAGAUUUAUCAGAGAGCUUACCUCUGCAGUUGUUGCCACUGCGCCUUCAUGUUUCACCCAGAUGCAGACUUCAAUCUAUCUAAAACUGCAAGAUCCACACAUAAACCACAAUAUUACAAUUCUUUUCAACUUAAUUACCCAAAAACAACAAACUUUAAAAUACCCCAAAUACAUAGCACCCCUAAAUUCACCAUCGUCUUUGACAAACGAAACUCAGCUCUCAGCGAUGGCGACAUUCGGUUCGGGUGAGUUGUCAGAGGUGAUCGGCUAGCAUAAAAAUCGACCCCAUCAAUACUCACAUCCCAAAUUUCAAAAAUUUUAUCAAAAUUGAUGCAAAACUAACUAAAACCCAUCAAAAUCAGGGAAAAAGAUGAGUUUUACCCGAGGAAUCGAGCUGAACAUAUAUCUUCUGGGUUCUACCUUUACCUGCAUAGAAAGUCAAAAAUUAAAAACCCACAAACCAAAAACUUAAAAUAAAAAAAAAUCAAAUUUCUUUCUCUAGAGGUUUAGACAAAGAAACAUCUUCACCUGCACAGAAAGUCAAAAAUUAAAAACCCACAAAUCAAAAACUUAAAAACCAAAAAAAAAAAAUCAAAUUUCUUUCUCUAGAGAUUAUGACAAAGAAACCUGAAGAGAUCUCUGACGGGUUUCCAAGGGAGAGGUCGAAAUGGAAGAGAUGCCGUCCAACGGAUGGGGAGGAGGAAGGAAGGAAGAACAGAGCAUCGUUUCUAUUUUUCCAGAAAAAUAUCUGCACAAAUUUUGACUAGUUCAUCAUUCUUAGCAAGAAAGUGAGAGAGAGACACAGAGAACCCCAGAUCGGAGAGCCAGAAAACGUGAGGAUUGAGAGGAAGAAAAGCGUUUGUGAGACACGGAUCGAAAAGGAUGGAAGGCUCCAGAAGACCAACGUGUCGACAUCCAAUGGAGUGUGAGAACCAAAGCACCAAGGAAAUCGAAACCGGAGAGGAUAAACGCGCGGCCUCGGAGAGCGAAGUCAUUUUACUGUAGAAAAGAGGGUAAAAAAGUGGCUUAACAAACGAAUUGAGGGGCAUUUUGGUCCGCACACUGCCCUAAAACAGUAACCAAAUGUUUGGGUUUAAUAUAUAUAGAAUUUUACAACCAUAUGUUUUGUAAUCAGCUCGGUUGAAUGUAUAUAAAAGUUAAGCUGCUUAUCUUACCGACACUGUUCACUCAUCUAUCCCUUUUGUUCAUUCAUGAUUAUAUUGAAUUUUUUUUUCAGGUUAAAUGUGUCUUAUUAAUAUAGUUAAGGCUAAUGCAUUCAAGUCCCGCAGCAACGUGCAUACAUAUUACUAGUUACUUUAGUUUAAAGAAAGGGGAGAAAUUGCCCUGUACGAAUGUGCAACGUUUGUGUCCGAAUUUUUUAUUGCGAGUCUCAAGGCCUACAUCUAAGAUCCUAAAAGGCAUCUUUCAGAACUUACUUCAUUCUCUUCUUGCAGCACAUCAGCAAGCAAGAGCCUGACCAUACAUCCAAAGUCUUGAGAAGCUUCCAAAUAAAAUAAAAAUUUUCAUUUGGCGAUGUUGUAAUAAAGCGUUGGCAGUUAGACAUAAUCUUCAUCGGAGGCGCAUGAGGGUUGAUAACGUCUGUGGGGUCUGCGGCGCAAUGGAGGAGACGGAAAAUCACCUAUUCUUCCAAUGUGAAUUCAGCCAUCGUUUCUAGUUCUGCUCUCCUUUGCACCUAAACUCCCAUGGUAUGAAUGGUGCAGAUUUUCUGACUAAUUGGGAACUCUUCCAUAAAAGUGUCAAGGGAAAGGGGGAAGUAGAUGAGAUACUGCAAGAUUUCGCCUUCGGCCUCUGGAGGUUGUGGAAGAACAGGAAUGAAACAGUCUUCAACGGAACGCAACAUCAACCUCUGGACGUUCUGAACAUCUGGAGGAGCAGUCUGGCUGAGUUCAGAGAAGCCACUACCAGGACGGCUGAUGGUGAUCGUCCUCCCCGUGACGCGGGGACUUCGGAGGUGAGGCGUCGGGGCGCUAUGUGGACGAAACUUGAGUUUGGCUUUAUCAAAGUAAAUACGGAUGCUGCGUGGUGUAAGAAUUCCCUUCGUAUGGGUGUGGGGUGGGUGUGCCGAGACUUUGCCGGUGUACUCCAAGCUGCAGGGGGUCGGGCACCGGGCUAUGCCACUCUGCUGCGGCGGGCGAAGCCCAUGCCAUUCGUGAGGCCAUUUUGGCUUGCACAUCGUUGGGCUUUAACAAUAUAAUCAUCGAAUCUGAUGCGAUGGUGAUCAUACAAAUGCUUAGGAAGGAAAUACCUUCUGAUUUUAGUCUGGAUUGUAUUCUUGGUGAUAUUGAGGUUCUAGCACGUAGGUUGACGUCUGUUUCGUUUGCCUUUGUGUCUAGGGAGAGCAAUGCUGCGGCUCACUCAGUGGCCAAGUAUGUUUUCAAGCAAGGCAAAGAGUUCAUUUGGGACUGUAUUGGCCCGGAUUUUUUGUUUAAUACUCUUGCAAGGAUGUAAACAUCUCUAUUCGUAUUUAAUGCAUCUCUAUCUUUGGGAAAAAAAAAGUCUUGAGAAGCUAUGCUGAGUACCGAAGACCACCUUUUCGAAAAAAUCUUCGUCCGAACAAGAAGUCUUGCUUUCCUUAACAUCAUAAUCCACGGUGCUUUUUCUGAACAAUUAUUGCUUUGUAUUCCACACAUUUACCUUUGGAGCAAGUGGAACUUUUCUUUUAAAAUAAAAGAAAGCCGAAUGGUGGAGAAGUUGGAGGGGACAAUUGUUGCAAGUUGUUUGAAAAAAAAAAGGAAAAGAAAAGAGCACUUGCCUUUGUGGCUUUGAAAAGUGUGUGUGUUUUGUCGACUCGCUCUUGGGGCACUUGCCUGUGCCUUCUCAUUGAGUAUUGGAGCUUUAAAAACACAGGUGUCUGUGUUUUGUCGACGUAAUUGAUGGUGUUGAUGUUAAAAUGUGAUUCAUGAUGAUGAAAGAAAAGAAAUAAUAGUACAAUAAUAAAAAGGUGAGGUGCAUCGGCACCAUCACAGAAAUAAUAGUAAAAUAUAAUUUAAAAAAAAAAAAAGAGAAAUGGGGACAAAUGUUUCUGGAGCUAUGUGGAAGAUAAUGAGAGAAAUUGCACUGUAUGAACGUGCAGGGUCAGGAUUUCAUUUUAUUUACGAGACUCUCUUACUUUAGUCUAAAGUUAGGGGAGAACAAUACCAAAAAAAAAAAUUUAAUAGAAAUGGUUUGAAAACUUUAAGUUUUAAUGAUAAGAAUAAAAUAAAAGGUAAAGUAAAUAGUAUCAGGAUUAAUCUUUUUAACGUAAAAAUAUACAUUUUCUUUAAAAUAAACAAUAUUGCAGAUUUUUCGAUAAAACACUGUUACAAAAAAAGAACUAACCUUAUUUACAAAGUCAUUUACAAAGUCUUCGUGUAAACAAUAAAGACUUCAAUUAUCAGGCUUAUGGUGUGUUUGUUGCGCCGGACUGUCUCGGACUGGACUAGCUGCCGGGACUAAGCUGGACUGGCUUAGACUGGACUAAGCUGGACUAACUUAGUGAAGCGUUUGGUGCAGUCUCGGACUAAGAAGCAGGAUAAGAAAAACAGUAUUGUUCACCAGAUUUGUGUUUGCUUAGACUAGGACUACAAAUUUUUGCCAUUGUGUAAUAGAGUAAUGCUACAAAUAUCAUGAUAUGGGUUAAUUGGAACAUAUUUUUACCAUGUAUAUUAUGAAUCUUAAAAAAAAUUGACAAUUGUUUUGUUUCUAUUACCUGCUAAUAGAAUUGGGUUUAAUUUGCAAAUGUAGCUUGAUUUAAACUCUAUCACCCAACAGAAGAAAAAUAAUAGUGGCCAAUACAUGCAACUUCAACAAAUACAAGUACAUAAGAUCUCCAUAAUUUAGAAAAUCCUAGUUAACAUUAGUUAACAUUAGCCAAAAUAGAUCUCCAUAAUUUACAAAAUGGCUAGUUAACAUAAGCCAAAAUACUAGUGCAAAGCUAAGUUAUAAGUCAUAACAUAAGAUUGUAUGAUUAAUAAAAUACAUCCAUGUUAACGUUAAUAAAAUACAUCCAUGUUAACAUUAGCCAAAAUCCUCAUCCACUUGCGUUGUCGCUUAAAAGCCUUUGGACGAACACUUUCUUGAGUUCCGGUUUGAUUGCCCUGAACACUUCCACAUUUUUUGGUUUAUCCAAAAUAAGAGACAAUGCAUCAAUUUGAUCCAUAGGAGAGAGACCCAUUGCUUCAAGUUCAUUAGCUAUGUCAGUAUGAUCUGCAGUACCUUGAACUAAAGCUUCAGUUACCAUUUGCAUCCUCUUCCCACUUUCAACAUAAAAAUCUUUCAGUCCAUUGAUAAUUGCCUCAGUUCCAUCACUUGAACUUCCCACAGCUCUUUCCUCUUUCUUUGGCUAUUUUCAAAUGGGGUGCUUUGUUGGCUUUGUUGGUUCAUUGAAGAAACAAAAUUAUCACCUCCAAUAUCACUUUCACCAACAUGAUCAUGACUUUGUUCCUCCACCAUUUGAGCAGGGGUUUCGGCUACAUUACCCGUAGCCCGAUCUUUUCCAAAUAUAUAUGCAAAUCUAUCAAACAGUGGAAAAUGUUUGCUUCUCCAUCCAUCGGCUUCUUUAUUUCUCUAAGAUUAUAUCAACAUAGCAAAACUAAAAUUUAGCAUGCGUAACAAAUAUAGCAGCAAGAAUAUAACUAAUGCAUAAAUAAAAUAGGAUAUGAACCUGCACAUAAGUUUGCCAUGCGUCAUCACUGUCAACUUCAACGCACUUUUUGACAUCAUUCCAUGCAAAUCCACUUGUGUUUAUCAUGUCAACGACCAUACUAUAUGUUUUUUUUCCAUUUCUUCAACUUGGACUCAAUAUGUGGAUUUGCCUUUAUAUUUGAAUGAGGACAUAAAACAUUGACAGCUUUUGCUAUUUCAACCCAAAGUACCUUGUUUGAAAGCACCGGUGUCACACCGUUGCUUCCGAGCAACAAAAUCCUCAAGAACUCCUAGUAAUACUUCUUCCUCAAAUGCUUCCCAUUUACGCCUUCUUCCUUUUGGCUCUUUAGUAGCAUUCAAAAAAUUUUCGUUAUCCAUACCUAAACAAAAAAUAUUUUAAUGAAGGAAAAAUACCAUACAAAUAAUCAAUUUGCAUAAUAUCCAAUCAACUUGCAUAAUAUCCAAUCAACUUGCAUAAUAUCCAAUUAAUUUGCAUACCAUCCAAUCAUUGUGCUAAUAUCUAACAAAUGCAUGAUAAAAAGGAAUACUAAAAUAAAAUGUUAUCAUUAACACAUAUAGCUAGUUCGGUUGCUGGUUCCUAAUUGCUCUCCACUCAUUAUACAUUUCCUGAGCCAUAUCAUUCCUCAUUGCAGUCCACUGGUCCGAUGUUUGAACACUACCAACAUAUAUCACCUUCUUCUGUAUUUUGUCCAUCUUCUAUUAUUGGCAAAUUCUCCAUUGGAUCUACAGACAUCUCUUGCCUAAUAAGAUUGUGUAGUAGGCAACAAGCGGUAAUUAUUCGACCUUGUGUCCUUAUCGGAUAGAAAGAUGGACUCCUUAGUAUCGACCACCUUCCUUUUAGCAAGCCAAAACAGCGUUCAAGUACAUUCCUUGCCUUAGAAUGCUUCAUGUUAAAAUAUUCUUCCUUAUUAGAAGGUGUUCGUCCCUCCCAUUCAGAUAAAUGAUAAGGUAUUCCUCUAUAGGGUGCAAGGAAUCCUUCACCAUUUGUAUGACCACCAUCUACAAGGUAAUAACAACCUAAUGAAAAAAAAACAGACCUUAUUAGUGUUUUGUAGUUGACAAACAAAACUAAACCUAACUUACAAAGUUGAGACUAAGUAAUAGUCUUACCCGCUGGUACCUUAAAACCAUUAGGCCUACUAAUUGCAUCAUGUAGCACUGUAGAGUCUGAUGCGGAACCCUCCCACCCCGGAAACACAUAUAUGAACUGCAUAUCUCCUGAACACACACCUAACACAUUAGUUGCGACUCGACCCUUUCUUGUUCGGUAUCUUGGUUUGUCAAUUUCAGGUACAUGCACAUCAAUGUGUGUUCCAUCCAAUGCUCCCAAGCAAUUCUUAAAAAUAAAAAAUAAAAAAGUUUUUGUUAUUUAUACAAAGGGAAUUAAGAGUUAAAGCUUAGGGAAAAUGAAAAAAAAUUCUCAUCAUACCUUAAAACAUCGCCACCUAGGAUCUGUAGAAUCAAUAGGCACAGGCUGGGGGACUUUUAGUAGGAUACCUUGUAAUCGCAAAAUUCCUUGCAAUACGCUAUUGAAAUACCUACUUAUAGUCUCUCCCGACCUAUAAAAUCUACCGCCAACACUACGAUUCUUAGUAUGAUGUGCUAAUAUUUGUAAAGUCGUACAUACAUGUUCCUCUACAGACACCAAACCAUCAGUUUUUACCCUCCCAUCUUGACGAAGUAAGUCGCAUAAUAUGCCAAAAGUCCUUUUAUCCAUUCUCAAUUCGUUGACACAUUCAGUAUCAGUAUUCCCUAUUAUACCAUUCAGAUAAUACAAACUAAUCUCUCGUCUAAUAAGUGAACGGUUAGUCAAUGUGGGUCGUUUAACAUGUCUCUGUUUGCCACGUAGCAUCAUCACCACAAGAAUCGUACAAAUACAAAUUAUCUCCAAAUAAGACAUCUCUAAUAAUAAGAUCAAUAAAAGCUUCAUUCGAUCCAUAUCUAUCCAAACAAACAAAAAAACAAUAGUAUGAGGAUUGCUAUCAUUCCUAGGCAUUGCAUGUGAAGAGGGAAAUUAAAGGACACCUGUAAUGCAGUAACCUUAGCCUUAGCCUUUUGUUUAUGCUCCUCUUCUCUGCAACAAACAACCACAAAAAAUUGCAAUUCAGCAUCAACCCCACAAAACAUUCACAUUGUAAUAUCAUGGUUAUAAACCAAGUACAUACACACACACUCAUGGACAAAUGUGCAAAAUACACAUACAUAUUCACACUCACACUCACACUAACACACACACACGGAAAUACACACUCUCACACACUGACAUAGACUCACACACACCCUGCAUACAUACAUACACACACACACUGCACACACACACACACUGCAUACAUACACACACACACACACACUGCACACACACACACUGCAUACACACUCACACACACACACUGCACACACACACACUGCAUACACACACACACUGCACACACAGUCACAGUCACACUCACACUCAUACUUACACUCACACACACACACUGCAUACACACACACACACACUGCACACACACUCACACUCACACACACUCACACUUACACUCACACUCACACUCACACACUGCACACAGCCACUCACACACACACACACACUGCACACACGCACACACACACACAACACACUGCACACACACACUGCACACACUGCACACACACACUGCAUACAUACACACACACACACACUGCACACACACACUGCAUACAUACAUACACACACACUGCAUACAUACUCAUACUCAUACACACACUGCACACACUGCAUACAUACAUACUGCAUACAUAUACACACACUGCACACACACACACUGCAUACAUACACUGCACACACACACUGCAUACAUACUCAUACACACACUGCACACACACACACUGCAUACAUACAUACAUACACACUGCAUACAUACUCAUACUCAUACACACACUGCACACACUGCAUACAUAUACACACACUGCACACACACACUGCAUACAUACACUGCACACACACACUGCAUACAUACUCAUACACACACUGCACACACACACACUGCAUAUAUACCGCAUACAUACACACACACACACUGCAUACACACUCACACACACACUGCACACACACACACUGCAUACAUACAUACACACACACUGCACACACACACACUGCAUACAUACAUACUGCAUACAUAUACACACACUGCACACACACACACACACUGCAUACAUACUCAUACACACACUGCAUACAUACCGCAUACAUACACACACACACUGCAUACACACUCACACACACACUGCACACACACACACUGCAUACAUACUCAUACUCAUACACACACUGCACACACUGCAUACAUACAUACUGCAUACAUAUACACACACUGCACACACACACACUGCAUACAUACACACUGCACACACACACACACUGCAUACAUACUCAUACACACACUGCACACACACACACACUGCAUACACACACACUGCACACACACUCACACUCACACUUACACUCACACUCACACACUGCACACAGUCACACACACACACACACGGGGACAGAGUGCAACACACUCUUACCCUCACACACACACUCUGUUUUUAUACUCACACACACACACACACACACUGCAUACAUACUCACACACACACACUGCACACACACUGCAUACAUACACACACACUGCACACACACACACACACUACACACACACACUGCAUACAUACACACACACACACACAUUGCACACACACACACACUACAUACAUACACACACACACACACUGCAUACAUACACACACACAUUGCAUACACACACACACAUUGCACACACACACACACACUACAUACAUACACACACACACACUGCAUACAUACACACACACACACAUUGCAUACACACACACUGCAUACAUACACACACACACACACAUUGCAUACAUACACACACACAUACUGCAUACAUACACACACACACACUGCAUACAUACACACACACAUUACUGCAAAUUCAAAAGAACCAGAGUAAGAGUGAGAGACAGAGAGAGAGGGUUACUUUGACUGGGAUCAAACAGGGGAGGAGGAUGGGCGAUUUGGUUGGAGUGUUCCUGAGAGGUCGCCUGAGAAAAAGGUGGAGGAGCAGGGCGAGCAGGAUCUGCAAUUUGACCCUAAAAAUCAAAACUCUAAUUUGUUCAACUACAGAGGUAUAUUAUUGAAAAUUUCUCAAACCCAAAACAAUUAAAUCAAAUAAAGCUUAGUAAUAUCACGAUCUGCAAAACAAAUUGAAGAAAUAAAUCGAAGAUUCGAAGUUUACCAGGCAAGAAGAGCAGAUAAGGGCGAGCAAGAUGCAGAUGAAGGCAAGCAAGACGCAGAGAUGAGGGUGAAGAGGACGAGGAUGAGGGAGCAAGGCAAGCAGGGAGCGAUGGCGACAACUCUCUCUCUCGCAGGAUGAGCGAGGUUUUCUCUCGCGGAAGGUCUUGCGAGUCCGGCCGAAUUUGGGGUUCUCGGCUAAGAACUCCUAGCGAACCCCUUAAUCCGAGCGAGUCCCAUUUAAUCCCAUUAAACCUAAUCCUGGUGCAGAACAAACAAGGGACUACAAUCUAGUCCAAUCCAGUCCCCCCUAAUCCGGUCAAACAAACGGGUCCUUAAAGUCUUCAUGUGCACAGGCUUAAAGUCAUUUACAGUGUUUGUGUCCGAAUUUCCCUUUAUUUACGAGACUGCCACUAUCAUGUCUCUUCUCACUUCUCUAUUAUUUCUGCAGGAAAAAGACAGAGUUUAUAGAAUGGUACAUGGCAUCUGAAAAGAAGGAAUAUAAUCUUAGAAGUUUUAACGAAAAGUCUACGGUACUGUUUACUUUAACGAAAAACCACAUUUUACACUAAAAAGUCAAACCUGAUACUAUUCACUUUACCUUUUAUUUUGUCCUUAUCGUUAAAACUCAAAGUUUUCAAGCCCUUUUCACUAGUUUCCUUAUAAUCUUAUAUAGAAAGCCGUUGGGUUGGUCAACAGUGUUGCACAGUGCAACAUUUUUUUUACCAAUUUACCCUUGCACAAUUUGAAAUAUGAUUUUGGGUAGCUUUUGAUUUUUUUUGGCAGAGGGGCAUUUUCGUCCAAUUAUUUUGUCGAAGCCAGUGACACCAAAGUUUUGUCCGCAUGUGCACUGUUUACUUUUCACUUCUUUAUUUUUAAAUACGUUCAAAACAUCAUAAGAAGCGUGUAAUGCAGGUUAUAAAAAAGGUCUUUCGCACGCGAAUAAUAAUGUGAUUAAAUGAAUUGUCAAAUGAUUUUUUUUAAACAAACGAUAUUAUCUACAUUAAAAGGGAGUAGGUGAGCUUGGCCUCACAAUGACUAGCAAUAAUAUGAUUCAAUCAAUUGUUUAUUAAAUAUUAUUUUCUCUAUUAUGUCAAAUGAUCAAUUUUUUCUUUAUAAAAAAGAUCUUUCGCACACGGAUAAUAAUGUGAUUAAAUUAAUUGUCAAAUGAUUUUUUUUUACCAAAUAAUAUUAUCUACACGAAGAGGGUGAGCUUAGCCUCACAAUGUGCUAACAAUAAUGUGAUUCAAUCAAUUGUUUAUUAAAUAUUAUUUUCUCUAUUCCUGAUGUAAAUUCUAUAAAAACCGAUUUUAUUAUGUGAAUUCAGCUACUUUAAUUAAAUAUUAUUUUCUUCUAGCAUGAUCUAAAAUUAUUCAUUUACUUCAAAUAUUUAAAUUUUUUUUUAUCAAUUUACGUAUAUAAAUACAUUUAAAAUGUGUAAGUCGCACAUAACACGCCGUAAUUCAAAAAAUGCCUUCUGCACGCGAGUGAAGGCUAGUAAUAAUAAAAAUGAAACUAAUGAAAAGGACUUGAAAACUUUGAGUUUUAACGAUAAAGACAAAAUAAAUGGGAAAUUAAUGGCAUUGAGCGCAAUAGAAGGUAAGCCAUAAUCCUAAAUAUGAGGAUUCUCAAUCUUCAUCUCUCCAUGAUUUUAUAGUUUGAAAUUCAUUUGUUUUUUUAUUUUUUCUUGGAAUUAGAAAAAAAAUACCCAAGCGUUCGGAAAUUUCUCAAAAGAAAUUGUUCAUUAACUGACUGAAAAAAUUCGCAAUUUUGUAUGUAAAGGUAAAGCACUUGAAGGGAGGCAUGUGCCGCUUUGUCGACUUUAUUGAAAUAAAUUGUCGUCAACUAACUUAAAAUAUUUGCAACUUUGUACCUAAAACACGUAAAGGAGCCCUCAUCCUUUAAAGAUAUAUAUUAUACUUUUUGUUAUAAAUAGGCAAAAUUUAUAGAGAGAUAACCUUUACUCGGUGAAGGAACGAAGCAGUUGCAGAGUAAUAUACCGACACAAGCUGUUGCAGAGGAAGUAAUUUAUAUUAUUGCUAUUAGAUAUAUUUCUCUUUUCUUUCUUCUUCUCAUUCACUAAUCUUUGCACAAUUGAAUUGCUCUAUUUAUAGAGCUACUUCAAUGGAAAAUUACAAAACAUUACUAUUUAGCUUAUGAGUAUAUAGUACACAUGUGAUACUUUACUAUACACAUUACUAUACACAUGUGGGCAAACAUACCCAUCAUUUACAACACUCCCCCUUGGAUGCCCACAUAUCAACAUCAGUUGCCUCAUUAAAACCUUGCUUGGAAAAACCCUGUGGGAAAAAAACCAUAGCGAAGGAAAAAGAGUACAACUUUACCCGGAUGGUGUUGAGCAUGCUUAGGUUGCCUCGUUAAAAACCUUGAUAGGAAAAACCCAGUGGGAAAAAUCCUAAGCGAAGGAAAAAGAGUACAACAUGCAUGUAUCAUGGAUGCUCCCCCUGAAUUGUAUCUCCCCCUGAUUCCGCAUUUUUCAAAUCUGUAAGCCGACGUAAUCCGAUUCCCUGUACCAACUUCUGAAAUGUGCACUUUGGUAGAGAUUUGGUGAACAAGUCUGCUAAAUUUUCAUUGGAACGGAUUUGUCUGACUUCAAGAACUUUAGCCUUCUGAAGCUCAUGUGCGCUGAAAAAUCUUGGAGAUAUGUGUUUAGUCUUAUCACCUUUGAUAAAUCCUUCCUUCAUUUGGGCGACACAGGCUGCAUUAUCUUCAUGGAUGACAGUUGGAGUGUCUGUCUUUGAAGGUAGACCACAUGAAUUCCGGAUGUGAUGGAUCAUUGAUCUUAACCAAGAACAUUCACGACUUGCUUCAUGUAAAGCAAUUAUUUCCGAAUGAUUGGAAGAUGUUGCAACUAGCGUUUGCUUUGUUGAUCGCCAUGAAAUUGCAGUAUCUCCAUUAGUGAACACAUAUCCAUUUUGUGAGCGGGCUUUAUGCGGAUCGGAGAGAAAACCAGCAUCUGCGUAUCCAACAAGGAUUUGUUCAUUUGUGGGCUUGUCUGAGUAGAAGAGACCCAUAUCUGUUGUCCCACGAAGGUAUCGUAGAACAUCUUUGACUCCCUUCCAAUGACGAAUUGUUGGAGCAGAGCUGUACCUGGCUAACAAGUUAACUGAAAAAGCUAUAUCUGGUCUAGUACAUUGUGCUAAAUACAAUAAAGCACCUAUUGCGCUCAAAUAUGGUACUUUUGGACCAAGGACCAGUUCAUCAUCUUCUUUUGGACGAAAUGGAUCUUUCUUAAUGUCCAAAGAACGAACGACCAUUGGGGUGCUAAGUGGAUAAGCUUUGUCCAUGCCAAAUCGCUUCAGUAUUUUUUCAAUGUAAGCUGAUUGAUGGACCAAAAUUCCACUAACACAAUGCUCGAUCUGCAGGCCUAGACAAUAUUUGGUUUUCCCAAGGUCUUUCAUUUCAAAUUCGUUUUUCAGAUAUUCAGCAGUUUUGUUGAGCUCUUCGGGGGUUCCAACUAGGUUCAUAUCAUCGACAUAUACUGCCACUAUAGCAAAUCCAGUAUUUGAUUUCUUAAUGAACACACAAGGGCAGAUGACAUUGUUGGCAUAUCCUUCUUUAAUCAAAUACUCACUGAGACGAUUAUACCACAUUCGCCCAGAUUGUUUCAGCCCAUAUAGUGAUCGCCUUAAUUUGAUUGAGAACAUACCCCGUGGUUUGUUAGUUGCUUCAGGCAACUUAAGUCCUUCUGGGACUUUCAUAUAUAUGUCAGUAUCUAAUUCUCCAUAUAGAUACGCGGUGAUGACAUCCAUAAGUCGCAUGUCAAGUUUUUCUGAAAUCACCAAAACUUAUUAAGUAACGAAACGUAAUUGCAUCCAUUACAGGAGAGUAUGUCUCUUCAUAAUCAACUCCAGGUCUUUGUGAAAAACCUUGUGCAACGAGUCGUGCUUUAUAUCUUGCAAUCUCGUUUUUCUCGUUGCGUUUCCUUGUGAAUACCCAUUUAUAACCUACAGGGUUCACACCAGGCGGGGUUUGGACUACUGGUCCAAAAACACUUCGUCUUUCCAAGGAUUUUAAUUCUGCCUGGAUUGCAUCUUUCCACUUAGGCCAAUCUUGUCUCUGUUUGCAUUCAUCAACAGAGCGGGGCUCAAUAUCAUCACUUAAUAUGAUUUCAGUGGCUAUUGCAAAUGCAAACAUGUCAUCGAUGAUUAUUUCAUUUCGAUCCCACAAUUCAUUAGUACAUGCAUAAUUUAUGGAUAUUUCUUUACUUUCAUGUACUUCUGUCUCUUCAGGGACAUGUGUCUCAUCAAGGACAUUUUCUUUUUCUGGAAGUACAGAGUCACGAAUUGUGGAUUUAUCAUUCAAUUCCUUUUCUUGAAUGAUAUCAUUUGGGUUCAAUUGGGCCCUCAUCUUUCUCUUUCGAGGAGCUGAAUCUUUUGAACCUGGGGGUCUACCACGCUUCAGGCGUGCACUGGAUGAAUCAUUCGCUGCCACUUUAUUUUGUCCAACAGGGACAUCAAUUCUUGCAGGUGCGUUUGCAGCCGGUAUAUAUGACUGUGUCACUUUCGAAGCAUCAUUAAAUGCAUCUGGCAUUUGAUUAGCAAUACCUUGAAGAUGAACGAUUCUUUUCACUUCGUUUUCACAUUGAGUGCUUCUUGGAUCAAAAUGAGAUAAGGUGGGAACAACCCAUGUUAGCUCUUGUCGUUCUUCUGGAACGGUCUUUUCUCCCCCUAACGACGGGAAAAUUGUCUCAUCAAAAUGACAAUCAGCAAAACGAGCUGUAAGCACAUCACCAGUCAAAGGUUCCAAAUAUCUAAUGAUAGAUGGUGAAUCAAAACCCACAUAAAUUCCCAAUCUGCGCUGAGGUCCCAUUUUAGUUCGUUGUGGUGGUGCAAUAGGCACAUAAGCAGCACAACCAAAAACUCGUAAAUGUGAAAUAUUUGGCUGAUGUCCAAACACGAGUUGUAUUGAUGAGUAUUGGUGGUUGGCUAUGGGUCUCAAUCUAACCAAUGAUGCAGCAUGUAAUAUGGCAUGUCCCCAUGUAGAAACUGGCAAUUUCGUUUUCAUGAGCAGAGUGCGGGCUAUUAAUUGAAGCCGCUUGAUAAAUGCCUCUGCUAAACCAUUUUGAGUAUGGACAUGAGGAACAGGGUGUUCAACAUUAAUGCCCAGUGCCAUACAGUAAUCAUCAAAGGUUUGAGACGUAAAUUCACCAGCGUUAUCAAGUCGAAUGGACUUAAUGGGAUGAUCUGGGAACUGUGCUCGCAACUUAAUUAUCUGAGCAAGAAGUCUCGCAAAAGCUACAUUUCGAGUAGACAAUAGGCAAACAUGUGACCAUCGGGUAGAUGCAUCAACCAAAACCAUAAAAUAUCGAAAUGGUCCACAAGGUGGUUGAAUAGGUCCACAAAUAUCCCCUUGAAUUCUUUGCAAAAAUGAUGGGGAUUCAUCAUCAACCUUUAGUUGUGAUGGUCUAAUUACCAACUUCCCUUGGGAACAAGCCUUGCAAGGAUUAUCAUUCGGGACAUUAAUGUGUCUGCUCAGUAAUGGAUGUCCAUUUAGAGUUGGUAAUGAUUCUACGCAUCAUGGUGGAUCCUGGAUGACCUAGACGGUCAUGCCAAAGCAUGUAAACCUUUGAAUCAAUGAACUUAUGGUUCAUGACAGUAUAUGCCUCAACUGUCUUUAUGUAUGUACAAUACAAUCCACUCGAUAAACCAUGCAACUUCUCCAAUAUACGCUUCUGGGUAUCGUUGGAGGUAAUGCAUAAAUAUUCCACAUUUUCUACACUUUUCGUUUCAAGGUGGUAUCCAUUUAAAACGUAUGUCUUUAAAACUCAACAAAUUUCGAAUGGACCGAGUAGCAUAUAUGCAUUCUUUAUAGACAAUAUUGUUCCAUUUGGUAACAUAAUCUGGGCUUUUCCUGAGCCUUCAAUUACAUCUGAUGGUCCUGAUUGUUGUUACCUUUACUUUGCAAGUACCGAUUCAGAAUUACUUUCGUCUCGAAGUAUUGAAUGCUGGUUGGCUAUGACAGAAGUCUCCGCAUGAUCUUGUUUUAGAUAUAACAUAUUUUAUAUCCAGAUCGAGUAAAGAAAAGCAAUUUAUUCAUACUGGAUAUCUACUUUUAUUGAAAUGAACAUUAGAAAACCACAGUACAAAUAACAUGAGUACAUUAAACAUAAUAAUUCAUCGGACCCUUAAAUUCUUAUCCAUACUAAGUCAGUCUGUGCAUCCAGGUGGUGUUGUUUAACUGUCCUGAUAAUUGGGUUCACUGGGGGGUUUCAUUGGUUUAGCCGGUCAAGGAAAUUGCACCCGACUCCUUGAAGAGGAAAGUGAUAUAGUUCCACCAGAUGUUUGGGGCGCCGACAAGUACGCGCCAAAUGAGUGCCACCACACCUGGAUUAAACCUUGGAACCGUUGUGAAACUAGAGUGUUUCUUGCUUUCCUCUCCUGGCGAGUGUGGUUAUUUCUAUAAGGAGGGCCUGACUUUCUCUUGGAACCUGGUCGGGAAACUGACACCAUGGUUCAGUGCCAGGCCUUCCCGACCUUGCUUGUGGACCAGCGUUCUGUUUUUAUAUGCCCACGGGAGUAAAUAUCUGGUAUUUCUUUCAGGGAGCAAAAUUCACUCGGAACUGGAUGGCUGUCCACCAAAGGGCAAGAUUAUGGUUUUUCAUGAGAAGCUCAGUUUGUAGCCACAGAGAUGGCGAUUCAGCUGUGUAUUCAGUGAGCUCGCGUCUAUACUGUUGUAUGCAGUGACCAGUGAGGUGUUAGAUGUGCUUUUUUUGAUCCAAGGCAUUUCCUAUGAAACCAGGCUCAGAAUUACACAAUUAAUGAGAGGGGCAAUGUGAACCGCACAUUCUCAAUCGAAAUCAAGUCAUAGAUGGGUGAUUAUCCCGCACUACUUUAAAACAGCAGGAAAAAUUUAAGAUAAGCUGUGAGCUGUGGAAACUUGCAACGCACACUAAAAUUGCGAUAAAUUCUACAAAUAUCUUCAGCCAGGUGGACGAUUUAUACCGCCCACCAUAAGCCCGUCAUAGGUGCGGUGAUCUAUCCGCACUAACUUUAACAGCAGGAAUAUUUAAUAUGUAGAGCAAGGUGGACGGAUAUACCGAUAACGGUUAUAAAAUUGCGAUAACCUUUAAAAUGCAAAGCGGUGGACGUAUUAUACCGCACCUCACCUAAAUUGCACAAUUAAAAAUUGCACUAUUUAAAAGAGCUUAUUUCAAUGGCCUUUACAAAUUUUACAUAAGCUUAAAUAUGACAAUAUAGUAGCAUUAUACCGCACCACCUAAAUUGCAAUAAAAUUAAAUAGUCAAAGCAGGAUGGGUGAUUAUUUCACACCACCUAAAUUGCGAUAAAAUUAAUACGGGAAAAUUUAAUAUCAGAUUAAGCGGCGAACAAUACCGUCCCCACUUAAAAUUUUCGAAAGAAAUGAUAUGCAGUCAAGACAGAACGAUCAGAGACCGCACCAAUUUGGAUUGCAUAAUACUCAGUGAUUAGUAGUCAAUAUCUACACCACCAAGAAAUCAAAGUAUGUGCAGUUAGUUGGAGACCUAGAAGUAACAUGGUGCAACAGUUCUUCUUCGCGAGGGUUUGGCCAGCAUGAGGAGAGAAGAAGAAGACAGAAAAAAACGAGGAAACUUCUUUUGGUGAAAGGAAAUGGAGACAAAGAUAGAGAGUUGCUGAUAACGUGUUCACUGUAAAUAGAUAAAUUUAUUAGAGAGAAACUUUCCUGUGAAGAACGAAGCAGUUGAGAGUAUAUACGGACACAAUCUGUUGCAGAGAAGUAAUUUAUAUUAUGCUAUUAAUAUAUUUCUCUUUUCUUUCUUCUUCUCAUUCAUAAUCGUUGCACAAUUUGAAUUGCUUAUUAUAGAGUACUUCAAUGAAAAUUACAAAACAUUACUAUUUAGCUUUGAGUAUAUAGUACACAUGUGAUACUUUACUAUACACAUUACUAUACACAUGUGGGCAAACAUACCCAUCAUUUACAACACUUUUGUGAUUGUUGGUCUCUCACUCAUCUUUUACUUUUCUGGCGGAGAUCCUUAUAUAAAAUACUAUAUUUUAUUCCGCAAGAAUCGCAUGGUUAUAAAGAAAUUGAGGAGAAUGCAGGCAAUUUCGUCCUUUACAUUUUUUAUGUUUUUUUUUUUUUGGUCUAAUCUCUGAUGAUUUUUCUCAGUCGUCGUUCGUAUGUUUAUUUUAUUGAAAUAAGCCUUACAGAAAAUGCUUUUACUAAAAGAAAAAAAAGAAUAAAUAUUUACAAAUUCUUCAGUUAAACAGUGAGGACUCAAUUUGCUUUAACUUUAUGAGAUAGGAGUCUUGGGUAGGUAAUUUUUGUGAUUGCAGAUUUUAUGUUGAUUACUACGUGGUAUUCAUAUACAUUCUUCGUACACCCGGUUUCGGCAGCCUGACGGAGUACUGACUAUUUUCUCAGAUAGGCUGUCAUCGGAUAGUAACUGCCUAAAUUAGCUGCGCGUUUGAUGAAUCGGUUAAUGACCGUAUUUCACAAUACUGUGUUUGAUUAUUAUCGUGAUUUUUAUUUAUCAAGUUUUAAUUUCUGAGUAAAUUAAAACUCACUCCUGAUCCUUAUUCCCUCCAAAUCUGAUCCUGGUUUUAACCUGGAUACCAUAAUAUUUCUUGAGCUGAAGGUGGAAAAUUCAGCAAAGAUUUGGUGGGGGGGUUUCCCCCUGGAAAAAACACAAUUAAUUUAACAGAACACUCUGCAGAGCUAUCUGCUGAAUACCUGCCAGUUAAUGAUUUGUAUGCUUUCGAAUUGCUUUCUAGUUCGUCAUAAUAGAAUAGAAUGAAUUUGUCGAGGUUUUUUUUUGGUUCGUUAUUCUUCAAUAUUAAAGUAAAGGAUAUGAUUUGUAUUAUUUUAAAUUCAAGAAAGGCAGCUGUGCCAAACGAGGCCUUCUCUCUUGCCGUGUCUGAUGCAGAAGAUUUUUUACUCGAGCCGGCUAUAAUUUGGAGGGCAGGUUGGUUUAAUCAGUUCCAAAUUUGGUGAAUCGUUUGAUAUUUUUAGUUUUUCUGUCCUAAUUGACAAGUGUUGAUAUCUUCUAAAAUAACCGAAGAGUUGUAAGGAUACUUUCACUUUUUGCAUUGACUUGUGGGGCGAUGAUUUUAGGCUAACAGGGCUUAGUUUGAAUCCUGGAUGUGCUUUCCAGUUCCCCCCCCCAAUCUGUGGAUUUGUUUUCUUUAAAAUAUUAAACCCCUUGACAUCGCAUAUACCAGCUGAGACCGUCGUCGUCGUCGUCACCGUAUGAACAAAUCUAUGAUCAGAAAUCAGAGAUGAGAGCCCAAGACCGUCGCCCUCAGUCUCAGAAAUUUGAGCCAAAAUCUCGCGAGAUUCAAGCUGCACGCGAGCGGAUCCAAAGCCCGAACCUCCGAUCUUGCUGAAAAACCGUGAAUUUGGUCCCAAUUCGAAGGAAAUUUUAAGCCCAGAAAAGCCUUGGUUUCACAGUAAAACCCAGAAACUUGAGGUACGAAAAUUUCAUAUUUUUUGAUGUUUUUUAUUUAUUUUCAGUGUUAAUUUCUGAUUAAAUUAUUAUUUUUGAUAAACCCAUCCAGAAUCUGAUCUGGGUUUUACCUGGAUUCCAAGUAAUAUUUUUGAAACUUGAAGGUGGAAAAUUUUCAAUUUAUUUUUAUUUUUAUUUAUUUUCAGUGUUACUCUCUGAUUAAUAUUAUUCUGGGUUUUGCAGAAAUGCUAUUCUUGCUGAAUACCUGCCAUGUAAGUGAUUUAAUUUUUGCUUUUCGAAUUGCUACUACUUUCGUGCAUAAUUAUGAAUAUGUAGAUGAUUUGGGGGUUUUUUUUUUGGUACUUUAUCUUCAAUUUAAAGUAAAGGAUAUUGAAUUUUGUUAUCAUUUUUAAAUUCAAGAAAGGCAGUCUGUGCUUCCUCUUCCGUUCUGAUUUGCAGAAGAUUUCUCGAGCGGCUAUAAUUUCAUGGCAGGUUGGUUUAAAUCAGUUCCAAAAUUUGGGAUCGUUUGGGAUAUUUUUAGGUUUUUCUGUCCCUCACAAAUCUUGGCUCUCUAAAAAAACCGAAGCAGUUUAAGAUUCUUCAGCUUUUUAAUUUGGAUUGAAGAUGAUUUUAGGCUAACAGGCUAAUGUUUUGAAUCCUGGAUCUGGGAGUUCCCCCCCCCCAAGCUGUGGGAUUUGUUUUCUUCAAUUUUAAAAUAUUACAAUUGAAUUCUUUGUUUGGGUAAAAGUUCUGUAUGGGUUCUGAUGAGGCACUGAAUUGGGUUUGAGAGUUUUGAUUUUACGGGAGAGGUAGGGAUUUGUGUUUAAACUUUUGAAGUACUUUUUUUGCAGAUAUUACGGGAGAGGUUGGACAUAAUCAUUACUUCCUAUUACAAUUAUUAAAGUUAAUUCAAUUAACUAAAGUUGGUUUGAAUGUGAUGAUGUGAUGGCAACUACUAACAACAAAACAACAAUCUCCUUAGAUUAAGGAGAAAGAACCAAAAGGUGAGGAAGAAAAGAAAGGAAAGGAGGAAAGAGAGCUCUGCACAUGCAAAUGUCAGAGAGCUCUCGGUGUACAUGUAAAGCAAAAGUAUACAAUAAUUCCAAUAAUAUUUUUCUUCUAACACUGUUAAGCAUGUAGUUUUCAGUGAUCUCUGGACAAUCCCUAUAUAUGCAUUGUAUUUGCAUAUUAGUUUCACUUAGUUUUAGUGAUCUUUGCGAGAACUUUUUUUAUUUUUAUUUAUUUUCAGUGUUUCUCUCUGAUUAAUAUUAUUUUGAGUUUUGCAGAAAUGCUGUUCUUGCUGAGUACCUGCCAUGUAAGUGAUUUAAUUUUUGCUUUUCGAAUUUCUUCUUUUCAUGCAUAAUUAUGAAUAUGUAGAUGAUUUGUGGGUAAUUUUUUUUUUACUUAAUCUCCAAUUCAAAGUGAAGGAUAUUGAAUUUUGUUAUCAUUUUUAUUCAGGAAAGGCAGUCUGUGCUGCCUUUUCUGUUCUGAUUUGAAGAAGAUUUCUCAAGCGGCUAUAAUUUCAUCGCAGGUUGGUUUAAAUCAGUUCCAAAAUUUGGGAUCGUUCGGGAUACUUUUAGGUUUUUCUGCCCCUCACAAAUCUUGGCUCGCUAAAAAACCAAACCAGUUUAAGCUUCUUCAGUUUUUUGAUUUGGAUUGAAGAUGAUUUUUAGCCAAAAAGGCUAACGUUUUGUGGUAAGUUCUUUGAAUCCUGCAUCUGCGAGGUUUUUUUUUUUUUUUUUUUUUUUCCAAAGCUGUGGGAUUUGUUUUCUUCAAGUUUAAAAUAUUACAAUUGAAUUCUUUGUUUGGGUAAAAAUUUAAUUAGAUUCUGUAUGGGGGUUCUGAUGAGGCACUGAAUUGGGUUUGAGGGUUUUGAUAUUAUGAGAGAGGUAGGGAGUAUACAGGGAGAGAGGGGGGGUAGGUGAUUUGCAGAAAUGGAGGGUGAAAGAAAAAAGGGGAGAGAAGGGGUAGUACAUUAUAUUUUGAUUUUAUAAUUUUGGGGGUUUUGUGUUUAAACUUUUUUCGCAGAUAUAGCCCACAAAUGUUGACCCAAAGGUUGGACAUAAUCAUUACUUCCUCAUCUUCUGUUUAAACUUUUUUCGCAGAUAUAGCCUGUCGAACAUUAAUUGAAACUCUAUUGAAACAAUCAUCUGUUUGCAACAAUCAUCUCGUUGGCUUCGAUGGCUAAAGAAGCAGCAGCAGCAGCUGCCUCAUCUUCUUCUCCUCCACCAUGGAAAUACCAUGUAUUCUUGAGUUUCAGAGGCGAGGACACGCGCUACAAUUUCACAGGCCAUUUGUGUAGAGCUUUGCGUCAAAAAGGAAUUAACACCUUCAUGGAUGAUUACCUUUCAAGAGGAGAAGAAAUAUCACCAGCGCUCCUCAAAGCGAUUGAAGAGUCGAGGAUUUCUGUCAUUGUAUUCUCCGAAAAAUAUGCUUCCUCAAGGUGGUGCUUGGACGAACUUGUUAAGAUCAUUGACUGCAAGAAAUCAAAUCAGCAAAUGGUGAUACCGGUAUUUUACAAGGUGAGUCCCUCGGAUGUUUGAAAUCAGAAGGGUUGUUUUGGUGAUGGACUUGCUGGCCUUGAGUGCAAUUAUAAGGAUAACGUUGACAAGAUCCACAAAUGGAGGCCAGCUCUUUCAGAAGCAGGAAAUUUGUCUGGGUGGACUCUCUUGGAUAAGUAUACAUUAUUACUUUAACACAUCCUUCUGCUUUCGCUUGUUUCAAUUUCUCUACUCUUUUGGUAUAUAUAGAUUUAAAUUUUUUGAGAUAGGAUCAAGAAUCAAAAGACCCAACAUGUCAUCGAUUUGUGGCCUUGUCAUCCAUUUGUGCAUAUUUGGAGUCCAAAUUUAGUGUACAAAUUAGUGUCUCUAGCAUCCUUUGUCCAAUCUUCCCAAACUAUAAAAAAAAUAUUGGUUUGUAAAUAUAAAUAGAAGGAAAUUCUGUUCUACUUUUGUGUGUGUUUUCUUCCCUCUUUUAAAAAAACAUGGGAAAAUGUCAUUUAUAAGAUGUUCCGUGUGAUUUUAUGCUUGCAGGCAUAAAGAUGAAUCGGAACUUAUUCAUAACAUUGUUGAAGGUAUUUCCGUGCAAGUAUUAAACCGUACAUAUUUGGAUGUGGCCGAAUACCCAGUUGGAAUGGAGUCUCGUGCAGAAGAAAUAAAUAACCUCUUACAUGUCGGGGGAAAUGAUGUCCGUAUGGUAGGUUUAUGGGGGAUUGGUGGAAUUGGUAAAUCAACAAUUGCCAAAGCUGUUUAUAAUUUAAUUUCCCACAACUUCGAAGGCAGUUGCUUUCUCAGUAGCGUUGGAGAAAGUUCAAUGACGGAUAAAGGAUUGGCCAAAUUACAAAAGACACUUCUUUAUGAGAUUCUACUGGGAGACAAGUUGAAGGUGGCCAAUGUUGAUAAAGGAAUCACUUUAAUUAAGGAAAGAUUAAGCAGUAAAAGGAUUCUCUUAGUUCUUGAUGAUGUGAACGACAUGAAACAGUUACACUGCUUAGCUGGGGGAUCAGAUGGUUGGUUUGGCGUGGGUAGUAGAAUUAUCAUAACUACGAGGGAUAAGAAACUGUUAACUGCUCAGCAUCAUAAUAUUUUGAUAUACGAGGUGAAGGAAUUGAACGAUCAUGAAUCUCUCGAGCUCUUCAGUUGGAAUGCCUUCAAAAGCAAAGGACCUUUGGAUGGUUAUGCGGAACUUGCAGACCAUGCAAUACGGUGUGCUCAAGGCCUUCCAUUAGUUUUGAGAGUUUUAGGUUCACAUUUGUACUGUGAAAGUAUAGAUAUGUGGCAAGCUAUAUUAGAUGGUCUGAUCAAAAGUCGAGAAAUUCAAGACGUUUUCAAGAUAAGUUAUGAUGCAUUGGAUGAAAUAGUGAAGGAAGUUUUUCUCGACAUUGCGUGCUUCUUUAAUGGGGAAAAAAGUAACUAUGUGAUCGAAAUAUUAGAAGGUUGUGGGCUAAACCCUAAGCAUAGCAUUGACGUACUCAUACAGAAGGCCCUCGUAAAUAUAUAUUAUGGUAUUAUACGGAUGCACAAUUUGGUAGAAGAAGUGGGUAAAGAAGUAGUUCGCCAACAAUCACCCAAUGAUCCUGGAGAGCGCAGCAGGUUGUGGUUUCAUGACGAUGUUUAUCGUGUUCUGACGGAGAAUACAGUAAGUCCAUUUGACAACAUUUUAUUUGUUAAUGAGACAUGCAUUUUGUUUUAUAUGGAACUUGCAUUGUUAAUACUUUUGAAUUUUCAUACUAGGGAACGAAAAACAUUAUAGGCAUAAAGGUGCAGCUGCUUGAAUCGGAUAACGAGAUAUGCUUAAGUCCUGCAACCUUCUCCAACAUGAAAAAUCUUAAAAUUUUCAUAAACCGUAAUGGACGGUUUUCUGGAGCCGUUGAUUACCUCCCCAACAACUUAAGGUUCGUUGAUUGGCCUGAAUGUCCGUUGAAAUCUUUGCCGCUCAAUUUAAUUCCGAAGAAUCUUGUUCUACUCAACAUGAGGAACAGCCGUAUCACAGGAUUCGGGGAGGGAUUUAAGGUACAUACGUUGAUCUCUUUUCUUUCUGUUUUAUUUAAGAGUAAGGAGUCUUUCUUUUUUCUGUGUCCCCUUUGAAAUGUUUUCAUCCCUUCCUCUCUUUUUUUCUUCACAGAUCCUGACGAAGCUGACUUCUAUAGAUUUAUCUGACUGUGAAUACUUAACCAGAAUCUCCGACUUAUCCGGAGUUCCAAACUUAGUGAGGUUGAAUCUAGAAUGUUGCGGAAAUUUAACCGAGGUUGAUUCAUCAGUUGGAUUUCUUAAUAAACUUGAAUUCCUGGGACUUAAUUUCUGCGAUAAGCUUACAGUGUUUCCAACAACAAUAAGCUUGAAAUCUCUGGAGUAUUUUAAUCUUUACGGUUGUGAAAAGUUUGAGAUAUUCCCGGAAAUUGUGGGCAAAAUGGAAAGCCUAAGUGAUUUGACAAUUGUUAGAACUGCUAUAAAAGAAUUGCCUCCAUCAAUUGAAAAUGUCACCGGGCUUUUACGCUUAUCGUUAGAUGAAUGUGAAAACCUUGCAAAUCUGCCGCAAAGCAUUUAUGCGCUGCCCCGUCUUGAACAUCUUGGUCUCAGUGGCUGCCCAAAGCUUGUUACACUCCCUCCGGAGCUUCCAACUAACUCAAACACUUCACUUGACAACUUUGGGUCAGUAGCACUUCCCAAUCUAGAGAGAGUAUAUUUUGAUGAAUGCAGUUUAUCGGACAUUGAUACCCUUGCAAAUUUCGGUUGCUUAUCUAAAUUACAAAGAAUUAGUCUAUGUAAUAGCAAUUUUGAGAGUCUUCCUGCAUGCAUUAGCAAAUUUGUGCGGUUGGAGACACUUGAUUUGUCUGGUUGCAAGAGACUUCGAGAAAUUUUAAAACUUCCACCAAAUAUAAGAUGGAUUAACGUUGGUGAUUGCAUAUUGCUGGAAAUAUUUCCAACAUUGUCAGAGAUGAUACGGGUAGACGGAGACACGAGACUCAUUCGUUGGAUGAACUUGUCUAAUUGCCAAAGGCUAUGCGAAAAUUUGGCUUUGGAUGUCUCCAAGAUGGCAAGCGUAUUACUGCAUCAGGCACUGUUCUCUCUCUCUCUUUUCCAUUUUUCCACUCUUCCAGUAUGAACGACUAAUUAACAUUCAUUAUAUGAAUCUUACAGGCGUGGAAGUGCUAUGAAGUGCCAAGUAUUAUACUUCCAGGCAGUGAAGUUCCAAAUUGGUUCAGUUGCCGUAAGGACGUACGUGUGGGGGUUGAUGGCUCUACAACUGAUCCUGGUUGUAUAUGUGAAAUAUUUAUUGAAAUCCCUCGGACUUUCAAAUGGAAAAACACAAUACUUGUUAUCUGUGCUGCUUUCACAAACACGCAAAAUGCAUAUUGCGAUUUUACGAUAGAGACUGCAGUCAAUGGAGUACGUAUAUAUGAGAGUGAUGUUUUAAUACAAUUAAUAUCAAAAAAGACAGAUGCAGCUCGUGUGUGGCUAACAUAUAUUCCAUUACCGGCUCACAUAAAGUCGAAGGUGGAUGAGGGUGGUGAUCAAUCAAAGCCGUAUCUGUGUCGAGUUCGUGUUUGCUGCGGAUCAUCAGAUGCGCCCCUCUUAAAAGGCUGCGGUGUCCAGGUGGGACUUCACAUUCUUCAACGCGUCCAAGAAGGCUUAAAUGGCUGCGGUGUCCACUUGGGAAAUUUCAGUAUGCCCGAGGAUGGUGGUGAAGAUGACGAUGAUGUAGGAGGUGAAGUUCGACCAAGAAAAAAGAAAAGGAUGCUGGCGAUCAAGGGUUGAAUGUGAGUUGCAACAUUUUCAAAUCUCUAGUCAUGUUUUUGUGAUGGUCAUUCUUGUUUUGAAAGUGUUUCUUCUGCUAACUCAACAAGUGUGGGGUUUUAUACAAAGUGCAAAUAGUGAAACCAUGAAAUAUAAACUGUAUUCAUUUCGGUCAGGUUUCCGACGUGGGACUUCACAUUCUUCAACGCGUCCAAGAAGGCCAUUGAUAUACGAUUCCUCUCAUCUCUCUCGUGUUUAAGGCAAGGAUUUGGCUCCAUUUUAACGCUCUCUCCUGUUUUUCUUCUGUUAGUUUUCAAUUCUUAGAAUUCUUUGUGAUUUUCGUUUAUGGAAAACUAAUCUCCAUAGCUACGGCUAGGAGAGAAACCUACACUGUAACUAUGUACUUCUAUUAUUUUGAUUUUAUUUUGGAUUUUCAGGUUGGAAUUUCUUAUUUAAUCUAUUUUUGGAAUGAUGAAUAUUAGUUAUGAUCCAUAGGAUCAACCCUUUUUUUCUUGGUAUAGUUCCGUUUCAACAUUCAUGCUUUCAAUGAACUGUAUAUAUUGAUUGAUUGGUAUGCUUUUGAUGACGUAGUUUUUUUUUAUAUUUUGUCGUUGUAGGCAUAAAUCGAACAUCCAAAAUGGAGAUUUAAUCACCAAAAGCUUUCAUAUUGAGAAAACUUAAUUGUCAUAGCUUCUGAUUGAGGGCGCACGUUGUUUGUUUAUCAGUUAAAGUUAUAAAAAUGAAUUGAAAUAGUGGAAUUGCAUAAUUGUAUAUAGGCAGAACCCCAAUGCUUUAAUGCUAUUUGGAGCAUAUGGUAUCUACAAAACAAGAUCCUGUUAUACCGCCUUCAGUUAAUGGAAUAGAAUUCCAUCUUGCUAAGCAUUUAAAAUGCCACAGAAAUGUUUCCACAGGAUGAGUCAACCGAAAUAUUUCCGCAGAUUUCCAUCUUGCUGGUUGUGCUAUAUAUAUGUUGGACAAUUUGAGCAUUACCCUGCUAAUCCAAUAUGGCUUUUCAGACGCAAACGCCUCAAAGUUUGUUACAUUUCCAGAUCAGGCAUCAAUCCUAUCUGGAUAAUUUCUUUAACAAGCCUCAAAGCUUCACCGAUUCUGUUGACCAAGGUUUUAUGGGAAGCAAUAUCAGGCGCAUAACCCAUAAUCACCAUUAAGUUCAAGACCACCUUCGCCUUUUCCAUUCUGCCCUGCAAACAAUAUUCACUAACCAGCAUACUGCAAGUUAUUGUGCUGAGUUUCAUACCGUAUUCAAUUGUUGCCUCAAAUAUUUUGUUAGUCUCUUCUGUCAUCCCAGCAUCCAAUAGUAUUACCAAAGUAACGGUAUCAGGCAAGAGUCCCCGGCCUAUCAUAUCAUCAAACAACCUUGUGGCCUCUUCCCAUUGAGCUGUACGGCACAUGCCAUUGGUUAAACUGUUGUAAGUGAUAACAUUUAGGGCAAUACCUUCAUCCAGCAUUCUAUUAAACACCCUUGUAGCUUCUCUCCAGUGGCUGGUCCAGCACAAUCCAUUAAUUAAGGAGCUGUAAGUCACAACAUCAGGCCUUUCCUCUCUACGGAUCAUUUCUUCCACAAGAUUCAGUGCCUCUGCUGUCUUCCCUUCCUUGCAUAAAGCAUCCAGUACAGAAUUAUAUGUAACAAUAUUAGGCAAGGCUCCAUAACCAAUCAUGGUUUUAAAUAAACUCACACCUUCCUCCCAGUUACCAGACUUGCAUGAAGCAGAAAUCAAGCAAUUAAAAGUGACAAGAUCAGGUUUUAUGCCUCUCAUUGUCAUCUUUUCAAACAGAGUAAGCGCUUCUUGAAUUCUUUCUUCCUUGCAAAUACCGCUGAUAAGAACAGUAUAUGUGUAUACACUGGGUGAAAUUCCACUGUCAAGCAUACAAAUCAAGAAGCUCUUGGCUUUUUCCAACCUCCCCGAUUGGCACAAUGCAUAAAUUAGAGCGGAGUAGGUGAGAACAUCUGGCCUGACUCCUUGAUCUUCCAUUGCUUCAAAAAGAGAGAACACUUCUUCCCAGCAAUUCAUGUUGCAUAACCCAUGAAUCAAAGUGUUAUAAGUGAUAAUACCCGGUACAACACUUUUGUAGAUCAUAUCUCUAAAUAGGGUCAAGGCCUCAUCUAUUCGUCUUUCUUUACAGAGGCUAUCUAUGAUGGGAUUGUAGCAGUCUUGUUUGGGCUUGAACCUUCCAUCUUCCAACAUAUUCGUAAGUAUCUCGAGUGCCUUAGAAGUUUUCCCAGCCUUGCAUAGCCGAUUGAUCAUGGUCGCAUAAGUGAUUUCAUCGCACGUGUAUCCCUUCUCUUCGAUUUCCUGGAAGAACUCCAAUGCCUCGGCCCGAGACUAUCUUGCAAAGUCCAUGGAGCAAAGUAUUUAUAGAAUGAGCGUUGGGUUGAAGACCGUAUUUAAGGGUGAUUGCUAAAACAGAGAAACCCAAGUCCAUCCGGUUCAGACGGCACACGCAAUUCAGAAAAAUAGUCAUCGUACUGACAUCAGGUCGGAAUUGAGCGCAACCCAUCAACUGUUUACGCAUAGAAACCACAGCAGAAUAUUCCUUCAUCUUGGAGAGUGCCCCAAACAAACAAUUGAAAGUCCAAAUAGAGGGCAAGGGUUUGGUUUGAAUCAUGGAAUCGAAGUACCCCAAUGCUUCAUCUUUCCUAAUUUUUCCAGAUUUGCAUCGAGUUUGAAUCAAAUUGUCCGAUUCCGAAUGGGUUUGUUUAAAUCUAUCUGUACUAGUAGCAUUACCAGCAGCGGAAUGAAAUCCAUCUUUUUUGUGCAGAAAGGUAAAAAUGAAUGAAGGAGUACCUGUUGAGUUAGGAAGUCUCGUGGUUAUCACCUUUAUCUUCAUCUUCCACAGAUUCAGCCCAGUUCAUGAAAUCCCAUGAAUUUCAAUCCUUCUCUAGAAUCAAGCUGCAAUUGAAAAGAAGCUGUCUUCAAUUGGUUCUUGUUUCAAACCCUAAUUCUGUAUUCCGAAAAACACUACCCUUAUGCUCAUUACAUAAAAUAUGCGACAUGUAUUUACAGUGUUAUAAUCUAUAUAUCUAUAUAAGACUAAAGAGGUGAAGUUUCUAAAAAGUUCUUAAAUACCGCUUUAUUUUUUCAAAUUUUUUAAGGACUACAACUUGUGUAAUUAAAAAGAAAAAAACCUGAAACUUUCAUAAUACCUAAAUUGCCUUUCUAUUAUUAAGAGCUUCCAAACAAAUAAAGGAUGAAAAAAAACGCAGUGGGAUUGUGAUUGGUUUGUAAGUUCAUUAUUUUACAGAAUAUAUUUUAUAACACCAAGUUACUGUGCAUUUAGGUCAUCUAUAACCGAAGGAGUAGCCCUCUGACUCUUCAAGAAAUUAAUAUUUUAAUAAACAGUGCAAGGUCAUAUUGUUUACCAUCUCCAACCGAGGGCCAAACAUAGUCAUGUGAUAAAAAAUCAUCUCCAACCAAGGGACAAAGUGUCAUAAGGCCAAACAUAAUUUAUUAUUUAAAUUUAAAAAUUACAACAACUUCAAUUUAAAAACUACAUCUUAUAUUUAAAAACUACAACUUAAACUUAAAUUUACUGUAAUUUCAUGUUACUUAAUGUUAUUUAAGAAGUUAUUUCCAGAAACUGGUGAACUAUACCGAAGUAAACUUGACGACCCCGACUUCACAUUCUUCAACGCGUCCAAGAAGGCCAUUGAUAUACGAUUCCUCUCAUCUCUCUCUUGUGUUUAAGCAAGGAUUUGGCUCCAUUUUAGCGCUCUCUCCUGUUUUUCUUCUGUUAGUUUUCAAUUCUUAGGAUUCUUUGUGAUUUUCGUUUACGGAAACCUAAUCUCCAUAGCUAGGCUAGGAGAGAAACCUACACUAUAACUAUGUACUUUUAUUAUUUUGAUUUUAUUUUGGAUUUUCAAUGUCAAAUUUAUAUUGUGGAAUUUCUUGUUUAAUCUAUUUUUGGAAUGAUGAAUAUUAGUUAGAGUAAAUUGUAGUUAUGGUCCUUUAACUUUAACUCAAUUGGAGCAAUGAUCCCUUAACUAAAAAUUCAUUACCAUUGGUCCAUCAACUCAUCAAAACGUGCAGCUAUGAUCCCUCAACUAAAAAUUCAUUACCAUUGGUCCCUCAACUUUAAUUCAACUGGAGAAAUGGUCAUUUAACUUUAACCUAAUUGUAGCAAUGGUCCUUCCAACAUAACUCGUUUUAACAAAAUUUUUGACGUAGUUGACAAAAAUGACCAUAAUUACACACUUUGAUGAGUUGAGGGACUCUAAUUGUAUAAAUCGUCAUUCCAACAUAACUUAUUUGACAAAAUUUUGACAAAAUCGAUGAAAAUGACUAUAGCUACACAUUUUGAUAAGUUGAGGGACCAAUGGUAAUGGAUUUUUAGUUGAAGAACCAUUGCUCCAAUUUGAUUAAAGUAGAGGGACUAUUGCUACAAUUUAUUCUAUUAGUUAUGAUCCAUAAGAUCAACCAUUUUAUUUUUUAUUUUUUUGUGUUCUUGUUUUGCUUCAACAUUCAUGCUUUUAGUGAACUAUAUAAAUUGAUUGAUUGGUAGGAUUUUGGAUGUUCGAUUUAAACACCAAAAGGUUUUAUACGAGAAAACUUAAAUGUCAUAUCUUCUGAUUGAGAGCGCACCUUGUUUGAUUAUCAAUUAAGUUAUAAAAAUGAAUCGAAAUAGUGGAAUUGCAUAAUUGUAUAUAGGUGGAACCCCAAUGCUUUAAUGCUACUUGGAGCAUAUGGUAUCUACAAAACAAGAUCCUGUUAUACCAUCUUCAGUUGAUGGAAUAGAAUUCCAUCUUGCUAAGCAUUUAAAAGGCCACAGAAAUGUUUCCACAGGAAGAGUCAACCGAAUGUUUGAAGAUUGUAUAAAACAUCAUAUAGCUGGUUGUGUUUAAGGUACAUCAACAAUGCCAACAAUUAGGAUACAACUAUAUAUAUGUUGGACAAUUUGAGCAUUACCCUGCUAAUCCAACAUGGCUUUUACGACGAAAACGCCCCAAAGUUCGUUGCAUUUCCAGAUCAGGCAUCAAUCCUAUUUGGAUCAUUUCUUUAACAAGCCUCAAAGCUUCACCGAUUCUGUUAACGUUUAUAUAGCCGUUGACCAAGGUUUUAUAGGAAGCAAUAUCAGGCGCAUAACCCAUAAUCACCAUUAAGUUCAACACCACCUUCGCCUUAUCCAUUCUGCCCUGCAAACAAUGUUCACUAACCAGCACACUGCAAGUUAAUGUGCUGAGUUUCAUACCGUAUUCAAUUGUUGCCUCAAAUAUUUUGUGAGUCUCUUCUGUCAUCCCAUCUUUGCAGAUAGCAUCCAAAAGUAUUACCAAAGUAACGGUAUCAGGCAAGAGUCCCCGGCUUACCAUAUCAUCAAACAACCUUGUGGCUUCUUCCCAUUGAGCUGUACGGCACAUGCCAGUGAUUAAACUGUUGUAAGUGAUAACAUCUGGGGCAACACCUUCAUCCAACAUUCUAUUAAACACCCUUGUAGCUUCUUCCCAUUGAGCUGUACGGCACAAUCCAUUAAUUAAGGUGUUGUACGUCACAACAUCAGGCUUUUCCCCUUUUAUGGAUCAUUUCUUCCACAAGAUUCAGUGCCUCUGCUGUCUUCCCUUCCUUGCGUAAAGCAUCCAGUACAGAAUUGUAUGUAACAAUAUCAGGCAAGACUCCAUAACCAAUCAUGGUUUUAAAUAAUCUCACACCUUCCUCCCAGUUACCAGACUUGCAUGAUGCGGAAAUCAUGCUAUUAAAAGUGACAACAUUAGGCUUUAGGCCAUUCGUUGUCAUCUUUUCAAACAGAGUAAGCGCUUCUUGAAUUCUUUCCUCCUUGCAAAGACAGCUGAUAAGAACACUAUAUGUGUAUACAUCGGGUGAAAUUCCACUGUUAAGCGUGCAAAUCAAGAAGCUCUUGGCUUUUUCAAACCUCCCCGAUUGGUAUAAGGCAUAAAUUAGAGUGUUAUAGGUGACAACAUCUGGCCUGACUCCAUGAUCCACCAUUUCGUCAAACAGAGAGAGCACUUCUUCCCAGCGACUCAUGUUGCAUAACCCAUGAAUCAAGGUGGUAUAAGUGAUAAUACCCGGUACAACACUUUUGUAGAUCAUAUCUCUAAAUAGGGUCAAGGCCUCAUCUAUUUGUCUUUCCUUACACAGGCUAUCUAUGAUGGGAUUGUAGCAGUCUUGUUUGGGCUUGAACCUUCCAUCUUCCAACAUAUUCGUAAGUAUCUCGAGUGCCUUAGAAGUUUUCCCAGCCUUGCAUAGUCCAUUUGUAUCCCUUCUCUUCUAUUAACUUGAACAGCUCUAUUGCCUCAGCCCAGAAACCGUACUUGCAAAGCCCGUGAAGUAAAGUGUUUAUAGAAUGAGCAUCGGGUUGAAGACCACAUUUAAGGGUAAUUGCUAAAACAGAGAAACCCAAAUCCACCCGGUUUAGAUGGCACAAGCAAUUCAGAAAAAUAUUCAUUGUACAGACAUUAGGCCGGAAUUGAGCACAUCCCAUCAACUGUUUACACAUAGAAACGACAGCAGAAUAUUGCUUCAUCUUGGAGAGUGCCCCAAACAAACAAUUGAAAGUCCAAAUGGAGGGCAAGGGUUUGGUUUGAAUCAUGGAAUUAAAGUAACCCAAUGCUUCAUCUUUCCUAAUUUUUUCAGAUUUGCAUCGAGUUUGGAUCAUACUCUCCGAUUCCAAAUGGGUUUGUUCAAUUCUAUCCGUACAGGUAGGAUUAGCACGAACAGCGUCGGAAUGAAAUCCACUACUUGGAUUCUGCAGAAAGGUAAAAAUGAAAGAAGGAAGAUUACCUAGAGAUGGAGGUCUUGUGGUUAUCCUCUUCAUCUUCAUUUGAAAGCUCUCUACUAUUUUUCUUGGUGUUCGAGGACGAUUUUGGUAUAAGGGCAAGGAUUUGGCUCCAUUUGAGAGCUCUGUCCUGUUUUUCUUCCGUUAGUUUUCAGUUCGUACAAUUCUUUGUGAUUUUCAUUAACGGAAAACUAUUCUGCAUAGCUAAGGCUAGGAGGAAACCUACACUAUAACAAUGUACUUUUAUUAUUUUGAUUUUAUUUUGAAUUUUCGCGGAAUUUUACAUUGUGGAUGUUCAAUUAAAUUUCUUAUUUAAUCUAAUUUCAGAUUGAUGAAUAUUGAUUAUGAUUAGGAUCAACCAUGUUUUUAUUAUAGUUUUGUUUCAACAUUCAUGCUUUUCGUGAAAUGUAUAAAUUGGCUGAUUGGUAUGAUUUUGACAGCAUAGUUUUUUUAUAUUUUGUCUUCGUAUAAACUAUUCUUAGGAUUUUGAGUAAAUUGUAACAAUCAUCAUUUAACUUUAACUCAAUUUGAGCAAUGAUUCAUCAACUAAACAUUAAUUACCAUUAAUCCCUCAACUCAUCAAAACGUGCAGAUAUUGUCCCUCAACUAAAAAUUCAUUACCCUUGGUCCUUCAACUUUAAUCCAACUGGAGAAAUGAUCUCUCAACUUUAAUCCAUUUGUAGCACUAGUCCUUCCAACAUAACUCAUUUUGACAAAAUUCUGACGAAGUUGAUGAAAAUGACCAUAGCUACACGUUUUGAUGAGUUACGGGACCCCAAUUGUAACAAUGGUUUUUCUAACAUAACUCAUUUUGACAAAAUUCUAACGAAGUUAAUUAAAAGGACCAUAGUUACACAUUCUGAUAAGUUGAGGGACCGAUAAUAAUGAAUUUUUAGUUGAGGGACUAUUGUUCCAAUUUGAUUAAAGUUGAUGAGCCAUUGCUACAAUUUACUCUUAUUUCUAUAAGAAAUCUAAAGGGCUUAUAUAGUUCGAAAUCCAAAAUGGAGAUUUAAUCACCAAAAACUUUUAUAUUGAGCAAACUUAAUUGUCAUAUCUUUUGGUUUUUUAUUUCUUGGGUCCCGCAUCAGAUGCUCCUAAUUUUCUAUAUUUUAGGUGUUUCCCCUUUGGUUUUUUAGAUGUACAAGAGUAGAAACCUUCCGUACAUAAGCUUCACAUUCUCCCUCAACAAUUUGUGUGUCUUUUUGUCGAAAUUAUUCAUGUCUUUCUAUGUUACGGUUUAAAAAAGGAUUUCGAUAUUGUCCCCAGUCACUCUAAGGGUUCUAUUUGAUCUCUAAGAAUUGUGGGAAAGAACAGGCAAAUGCAUCUAGACGAGUGGUUUGGUGGUUAGGAGACUUGGAGGGCCAAUGGAGGUAGUCUAUUCUUGCCAUAUUUUCUUUUUUAGGUUAGUAUAUGCAGCUUUAAAGAAAUGACGUUAGAUCAUCACAAUCUCAUUGCUGGAUUUUAUUUAGCGUUGGUUUCGAUAUGAUAGUAUCAUAUUUAGACUCAAAUGCUAAUAGAUUAUGAGUGGUUUUUAAUCUUUGAUGAUCUGGCAUCCGGUUUUAUCUUUCUUAUGUUGUUUUUUUUUUUUAAAUUAAAAUUUUUAGAAUUUUCAGAAUUUUGGGUCAUUGGAGGCAAAAUUUGGUUGCUUACUUGACACGAUGAGGUAUAUAAUUAUACACCCAAUUGACUUUGAUCUUUAUGUUUUUAAUAAUUGAGAAAGAGUAGUGUUAAUAAUUGAGAAAUUAAACAUGUUUACAUGACAAAUUCAUCUUAGAGAUUUGUUUGGUUUUGAAAUUCCAUCAAAAGCUAUGAUUUUUGUGCGAUUGAUUUUGUGAGGGAGAUAAGACACUGACUUUCUAAUUUGGUUUUUUUCUCCCUCCUUUUUCAAAUUCCUUCAAAAUCUUGCAAUUUGCCUUUCUAAAUUAGCUUAAGAGUUUUCAAAAAAUUGAAUACUUCGUUAAUUUGUUCAUUGAGAUUGGUUCUGAAAUUUCAAUUUGUUUAAGCAAUGACAAAUUAGGAUUGGUUUUUAAAUUCCCCAUUCAGAAAUACAUAGCAAUUUCAGCUACAGUUUGUUACGCAAAUACAUGGCUAAUAAUUAACGUCUGUUUACUCUCAAAAAAACAUUUCCCAAAUCCUCAAAUACAUAGCUAAUUCAAUUACACGCACAUUUGUUUGCUGAAAUCAAUGUCAGAUAUUCCUUGGGAGUAAGCAUUGUUAAAUUUUAAUUGCAAAUGGCAGCUGAAAUUAUCUUAAUUAUUACCACUUUUGAUUUGGAUUUGUAACACACAAUGUUUAGAUCAUUUGAUCGGUACUUAGUUAUGUUUAAUACUGGCGGUUUGGCUGUGAUUAAAUUGAUCCAGUCUCGAAUAGUGUGACAUGUGAGAUGAUAAUAGACUAACAGAGGAAAAGGAGUUGAUGCAUGUGUGUUUGAUUUACAAAUUUUGGCAAUUCCUUGCCAUUUUUUUGGUUAGCUGGUGAUAUAUAUCUAUCUUCAUAACCAAAUAGCAAUAACUUUGAGUUUCUAGAAGUUUUAAUGUGUUUUAUGUCCUGCAUUUUUGUAACGUCUGUACAAGUUGUCACUAAGAUCUUUUGGUUUCUAGCUACUUUAGUUUUUCAGCAUUGAAUCGUAGGAUUAAAGUUUUUUGAUUGAGUUCUUAUUUAAUUGCAUAUUGGAAUGGGUACAAUCUAAGCACUCCUAAAACUGAAAAGUUCUCCGAAGAUUGCGAGAAUGGUUGUGUCAGAUAUGGUUUAUUGUCCAUGCAAGGAUGGCGUACCACAAUGGACGAUGUUGUGAGUGUAUUAAACUUUUCUCUUCCUAUUUGAAGUUGUUUUCAGAACAUAAGUUAUUUUAUGUCCAUUCUUAGAAGUUUCUACUAUUGUAUCAUUUUCCGUCUUUAUUUAGCAUGCUAUAGUUAUGAUUCAACUGAAUAUGAUUUUACUUGACAUGUUCAAAUUCUCUUAAUCAUGUUCUUGAAUUUUACUAUAUGUAUCGGAUUCUUUGUAUUUCAUUAUCUGAACUCUGUUAUUUGAAUUUGGUUACCUGAAUUGUGCCUAAUAUUUGAUGUGGCCACUGGCUUUGUAUGGUUGGUUGGUGUGCUUUAAUAGUGUUUUUAGUCAAUGGGAGACGAAGGAUAAAGGUGUGGGGCAGCGAAGUCAAGUGGGAUUAGGAAUUUAGGAUAGUAGAAUUUUUGCUAAUUUAUGGGAUUAGAAAUCUUCCUUUAUUUUUGUCUUGGUGUGAUCAAUUGCAACAAAGAAUUUUCAUUAAAUUGAGGUAGUGAACCUACUAAUUUUCAAUUGUUGUUUAUCUACAAUCUUCUCCAUUCUCUUGGACCAAACAUGAAAUCCCAAGCACCAUAUCACCACAAAGCAAGCAAGCUGAAAAGCAAUCCAACAAACCCUUUUUUCAAAGGCACUUAACAGAACCUUUCUAUGUGUUAAUUGUUGUUUCAAUUAUACCAGAUUGAAAACGAGUAUAGAACCAUUGGUCAAGCAUAUGGGGCUGUUGCUUCUUUUUCUGAGGGAAAUAGAGCAUAUUUUACAACCAUAUAUUUUGUAAUCAACUCGGUUGAAUGUAUAUAAAAGUUAAGCUGUUUAUUUUACCGACACUGUUCACUCAUCUAUCCGUUUUGUUCAUUCAUGAUUAUAUUGAAUUUUUUUUCAGGUUAAAUGUGUCUUAUUCAUAUAGUUGAGGCUGAUGCAUUCAAGUGCCGCAUCAACGUACGAACAUAUUACUAGUUACUUUAGUCUAAAGAAGGGGGAGAAAUUGCCCUAUACGAAUGUGCAGCGUUUGUGUCCAAAUUUUUUAUUGCGAGCCUCAAAGCCUACACCUAAGGCUCUACAAAGGCAUAUUUCAAAACUUAUUUUGUUCUCUUCUUGCAUCACAUCAGCAAGCAAGAGCCCAACCAUACAUAAAAAAAUCUUGAGAAGUUGUGCUUAGUACUGAGGACCACCUUUUUGGAAAAAUCUUCUUCCAAACAGGAAGUCUUGCUAUCCUUAACAUCAUAAUCCACGGUGCUUUUUCUGAACAAUUAUUGCUUGGUAUUCCACACGUUUACCUUUGGAGCAAGUGGAACUUUUCUUUUAAAAAUAAAAGAAAGCCGAAUGGUGGAGAAGUUGGACGGGACAAUUGUUGCGAGUUGUUUGAAAAAAAAAAGGAAAAGAAAAGAGCACUUGCCUUUGUGGCUUUGAAAAGUGUGUGUUUGUCGACUCGCUCUUGGAGCACUUGCCUGGUGCCUUCUCAUUUAAGUAUUUUUGAAAAGUGUGUGUGUUUUGUUGACUCGCUCUUGGAGCACUUGCCAGGUGCCUUCUCAUUGAGUAUUGGAGCAUUAAGAGCAACUCCAUCUUUGGAGCUCUUCUCUCUGGCAAUCCACUAUUGAAUCCACUUUAUUGAACAGUAACUGCCUUUAAUGAAUAGUAACUACCUUUAAUGAAUAGUAACUACUAUUAAUGAAUAGUAAUUACCUUUUGCAUCUCCACCAUUGAAACCCUCCCCCUGGCAAUAGGUAAUAAAAUAAUAGUUUUUUUUGUUUGUUUAAAUAAUAUAAAAUAAAAAAACAGGAAAAUGGGGCUGUAGGGCCUCGGGCUGACACAAAAAACAAUAAAAAAAUGCCUUGGCCCUCGGGCUGCAGGCCUGUCAACAAUCCACUCCCCUUGUGCUCGGGCUCCCACCCUCACUCGAGCCCUCCAUGGUUGGAGAAGAAUCAACCGGCCCUCGGGCCCCUUCCUGCAGCCCGUCCCCCGAGCAAAGUAGAAGGCUGGAGUUGCUCUAAAACACAGGCUUUUGUGUUUUAUCGACGUAAUUGAUGGUGUUCAUGUUACACUGUGAUUCAUGAUGAUGACAUAAUAGAAAUAAUAGUAAAAUAAUAAAAGAGGUAGGUGUAUCGGCACCAUCACAGAAAUAAUAGUAAAAUAUAAUUAAAAAAAAAAACAGAAAUGGAGACAUAUGUAUCUGGAGCCAUGUGGAAGAUACUGAGAGAAAUUGCACUGUAUGAAUGUGUCUGAAUUUCGUUUUAUUCACUAGACUCUCUUACUUUAGUCUAAAGUUGGGGGAGAACAAUUGCAAAGAAGAAAAACUAAUGAAAAUUAUUUGAAAAUUUUGAGUUUUAACGAUAAGAAUAAAAUAAAGGGUAAAAUGAAUAAUAUAAUGAUUAAUUUUUAAUGUAAAAAUUUAUUUUUUAUUAAAAUAAAUAGUAUCACGAACUUUUCGUUAAAACACCCUUACAAAAAAUAAACUAACCUUAUUUACAAAGUUAUUUACGAAGUCUUCAUGUAAAUAGUAAAGACUUCGAUUAUCAGGCUUAAAAGUCUUCAUGUGCACGCUUUCCAUCCCACUUUCUUUCCCCUUUUUUUCUCUCUUACUUUGUCUCUCUGUACCCGUCAAAUCCCUCAUCCCCCCUUUUCUCACUCCCUUACCGAUUCUCUCUCGCCAUUCUCAGUCUUGCCAGCCGCAAACCCCUUGACAUCGCAUAUACCACUUGAGACCGUCGUCGUCACCGUAUGAACAAAUCUAUGAUCAGAAAUCAGAGAUGGGAGCCCCAUGACCGUCGCCUGCACCUCCGUCUCAGAAAAGUGAGCCAAGAUCCAAAAGCCGAACCUCGGAUCUUGCUGCAAAACGGUGAAUUUGGUCCCAAUUCGAAGGAAAUUUUAAGCCCAGAAAAGCCUUGGUUUCACAAUAAAAACCCAGAAACUUGAGGUACGAAAAUUUCAAAUUUUUUGAUGUUUUUUAUUUAUUUUCAGUGUUAAUUUAUGAUUAAAUUAUUAUUUUUGAUAAACCAAUUCAGAAUCUAAUCUGGUUUUACCUCGACUCCAGAGUAAAAACCUUGAAACUUGAAGGUAUAAAAAGUUAAAAUUUUAUUUUUAUUUUUAUUUAUUUUCAGUGUUACUCUCUGAUUAAUAUUAUUCUGGGUUUUGUAGAAAUGCUAUUCUUGCUGAAUACUUGCCAUGUAAGUGAUUUAAUUUUUGCUUUUCGAAUUUCUACUUUUCAUGCAUAAUUAUGAAUAUGUAGAUGAUUUGUGGGUAAUUUUUUUUUUACUUAAUCUCCAAUUCAAAGUGUUCGCGUCAGGAAUUUCCGUCGGGGAUGUUUCCUGGCCGACGAGCGCACAGCUCCCCUGGAGGUUAGCGCCGGUUGAGAACUGCUGUCGGGCUUCUGCUUCACUGUCGGGCUUUGUCGGGCAAGGCUCGUCGGGCAAGACUUAUCGGGCAAGACUCGUCGGGCAAGACUUAUCGGGCAAGACUCGUCGGGCAUGACUUAUCGGGCAAGGCUUGUCGGGCAAGGCUUGUCGGGCAAGGCUGGAAGAGAAGGACAUCGUUAACUUUGAAAUGUGCCUUUGUGGGGCCUUAGGUGUAGGCCUUGAGGCUCACAAUCAAGAUUAACGUCUAAGUACUCAGGCGUGCCACUGCCAUCUGUAGCAUGGCAUAUGUAAAAUGGAUGUCGAGUUUUAGUUAUGUAUAUAUAUAUAUAUAUAUAUAUAUAUAUAUAUAUAUAUCCGAGAAACCGUGUUAGUUAUAACAGGUGCCUUUGUGGGGCCUUAGGUGUAGGCCUUGAGGCUUCCUAUCAAUAACUAAACCAGUACUCGCACACAUAAUAUUUGUUCCAUUGACUGUGGGAGUCUUACAACUAUUAUACUUCUGAUUACCCGAAUCCGAGAGAUAGAACAGACCCAAAUAGGUGCCUUUGUGGAGCCUUAGAUGUAGGCCUUGAGGCUUCCUAUCAGAAUUCGUUCUUUGUACUCAAACAUUCUAGACCGCGGAAUGGAAUGAAUCCAAAUAGGUGCCUUUGUAGGGCCUUAGGUGUAGGCCUUGAGGCUUCCUAUCAGAAUCCAUUCCACGCUUAAGCGUUCUAUGAUAUUCAUAAUAUAAUAGAAAUAAAACUAAGGGAUAGGUCGAUCACUUGCGCCCCAAGUGACCUCGGACUUCUUGUUUAUCAAGGACUAUCGUCGAUGGGUUAAGUCCACAUAAGGUUCUUUUUUAUGCCUUGAAGUCAAAGACUUUCAACUGAUCAAAUUUGCAUGCCCGAGGGCUUAGAACUUAGAUCUGGUUUGAACAAUGAAGAUAUAUUCAAAUCGGAUCCAAGUACUGAGAGUGUCUUUUAAUAGUCAUCUUACUAGAAAUAACUUGAAUACAACUGAAAGUAUACAACAUAUUGCUAGGCUAAUGAAUAAAAAGACAAAAAGAAAACAAAAAAGGUCAGGCAAGGUUUAACCUUGUCGGGCAAGCCUGAUCGUCUUGCAGGUCCCUAUCUUUGUGGCUUUUCACGGGUCUGAGGGCUUUAGAGAGAGGUGAGGAAAAAAGUUUAAAGAGAAAUCGAUACUACAGCAAGGUUGAACAGGGUAGCAGAGCUAUUACAAAGGUUUGAGUGAAGGCUUGGGUUGACUACAGCUUCAUUUUGAAGGCAAAUCUGGCUUUGAGCAGAGUUUAUGCUUGCAUUUGUUGUUUGAUUGAGUGUCCUUAUUCCUGAUUUCUCUUUCUUCUUUUAUAGACAACUCAGCUUGGCCUCUUGUAGCAGCAGCCUUGCUCGAAGGCAACUUGAGAAGCAGUGACUCAUCAACUAUUUUACUUGUUCUGCCAUUAUAAAGUACUUUAUGGGCUGUAUAGCUGGCCAGUCUAUACCACUUGACUUUUGGGUAGGUGAGCAAGUGGUCUUCAUGAGCUGCACCAAGUCAAAAAGCCAUUUUCUGCUUUCUGGGUUUUGACUGGGCUUCGGCCAACACUCUGGGCUUCGGCCGACUCUUCCUUUAGGCAUUCUUUUGGGCCAGCCCCUUUCCUGAGCCCAAAGUUCAAGUUUUUGAGCCAAACAGUGCCCCAUUCAAUUGAUAUUUAGCCUGGAAUUCCAGGCACCAAUAUUAAUUGAAAAUGUGCAUGCGGCUGCACCCUUGUCUUUGGAACUUGUAUCUUCUAGAUGAAAUUAAUGGCACCCGGAGUCUCUUGAUCUUCUCGCAACCCUUGAACUACUCUCUGAUAUUCUUUAUAAAUGUCAGCUGUCUUAACAAACCAUCAUCGAAUUCAAUUUUCAUUCUUCCUAAGUGUUUCUUCUUUCUGAGUCUCUUCCCAAAACCGUGAAAUGAGUUCUUCAUAUUUUAAGUGGAGUCUCCUAAAAUUCCCUUUCCGUGAGAAAAAGAGUUUUCAUCAGAUAAUCGCUAUCUCCAACACCUUUGGUCGAACACUCCGCUAUCUCCAACACCCUUGGUCAGGCGGCUUCCUCACGAAGGCUUGCUUUCCUGCUUGCUACCGUGAUAAAUCUGGCUUCACCAUCACAUAUGGUGAUGGUCCUGAUUAAGGAUGCUGCACCAGGCGUGUCUUGGCCUCAUAACCCGAUCACCUGAUUGGGUCCCAUCCAUGAGGACAUCGGAAAACCAGCCGAAGAUAUCCUUGCAUCCAAAAAGAGAAUUGAUUGUAAUACAUUGGCCUUGAAUCCGUUGUAAACUUUACCAAUCUGUCGAAAUGAAAUAUACAUUAUUUUAGCAACUCUUGUCUUCCUGUCUUCUUGAAUGGUUGAUAAAUAUACACUGCACAUUAAUAUCCUGAAGCUGGCUUUGCCUUGCAUCCUCUUCAAUAUAACAAUCUCUAACAUCCCACAACGUAGGAAAAUAUUUCUUUAAAAAUUUAACAUUAAUGGGAUGUUUCUGCCUAUUUCCUUCAAGGUCUGCCAAGUAGUAACCUCCCCUAUCCAAAAUGCGACUAAUAAUGAAAGGACCUUCCCAUGUCGGGCUCCAUUUUCCAAAGCCCCUGAGCUGAGCUCCUAGAGGGAGGAUUGUCUUCCAUACUAAAUCCCCUUCCUGGAAAGACUUCAUCUUUACCUUUUUGUUAUAAGCUCAGACAACGACUUUCUUUCCUUCCUGAAUCUGGUUCAAGGCUUCAAUUCGGGCCACAUCCAAGUCUUCAAUCCCUUGACACAUGGCUUCGAUGUAUUCUUCAAUGUGCAAUCCAAAUUGAUUUUGAAUUCUGACAGAACUCACAUUGAUCUCCACGGGGAGCACUGCAUCUUGCCUGAAGGUUAAAGCAUAAGGAGUUGUCCCUGUUCCUGCCCUCUUGGAAGUUCUGUAUGCCCACAAAGUGUUCCCCAGCUUUUCAUGCCACUUUUUUGGACUAUCUAUCACCAUUCUUUUGAUAAUGUUGACCAGGAUCUUGUUGCUGGCCUCUGCCUGGCCAUUUGAUUGAGGAUAAUACGGACUGGACUGGAUCAUCUUUAUUUUGUAUUUGCUUGCAAACUCCUCAACUUCUUUUGAAAUAAAAGAUGGCCCACGAUCCGUUACUAUAGUUUCGGGCACCCCAUAUCUGUGUAGAAUCUUGGUCUCGAUAAAAUUCUUGACUGCGGCUGAAGUUAUGGAUUUCACUGCUGAUGCCUCCACCCACUUGGUGAAAUAAUCCGUUACUACAAUUAUGAAAGUAUUCCCUUUACUAGAAGCUGGAUAGAUUUGCCCGAUGAAGUCCAUUGCCCAUCCUCGAAAGGGCCAAGGCUUGACUACUGGAUUUAAAGGUACCGAGGGCACAUGCUGGAGUGGUCCGUGCCUUUAACAUUCUUCACAACCUCGGGCAUAAGACUUGCAAUCAUUUUCCGUGUCGGGCCAGAAAUAACCAUACCUUCUAAGCAACCAUCUCAUCUUCGUUCCAGCCUGAUGUGCUCCACAUACUCCUUCAUGUACUUCGGCCAUUACCCUCAUGGAUUCUUCUUGGCCCAAGCAUUUCAAUAAUAUCUCAUAUGGAGUUUUCCUUAGCAAGUUCUUCGCCCAUAAGACAUAUUUGGUUGCUUACUGUCUAUUCUUCUUGCUUGUAGGUGAAGAAGGAUCCUUCAAAUGAUGAAUGAUAGGCGACCUCCAAUCUUCUAUCUCAGUUUCUAGAACCAUUAUAUCCAGACUGAAUCCCCUUUCUAAGAUAGAAGGAAGGUUUUUUCUUUGGAUCUCGACAUCUACCCCAUAUAUUCUCUCCUGUAUUGGCACUCCUGAGGCUAGUUGUGCCAUCUCGUUGGCCGCUAAGUUGGAUACCCUGGGAACAUGAUUGACUGAUAUCUCAGAACCUCAGAAACUCAGUAAUUGCGUAGCCGCCAAGUAAUAUCCCGCCAUGGUAAUAUGUUUGCACUUGAACUCCCCAUUUAACUGAUUUAUUACUAACUCUGAAUCUCCAAAGACCUCUACCUCUACUGCCCCCAGAUCCAUCAAGAUUUCCAGACCAAUUAUUAAGGUCUCAUACUCUGCCCGAUUAUUAGUAUUUCCUUGGUAGUCCAGGAGAAAUGAGUAAUAAUGAUAAACCCCUUGAGGGUUUACAAUCACAAUUCCUGCUCCUGAAGCCUUCUGAGUAUGAGAUCCAUCAAAAUACAGCUUCCAAGGAAUGAUCCAGAGACCAGUCACUCUUCUUAUCUCUUGCUGGACCCAAUCUUCUUUGCCCGAGAUAUCUCUUCUUGGCAGGAUCCAAAUGCUAGUGACCUCCAAGCUUCCUAGGAUAUUGAUUACCUCGCUUUGAGAUUCUUGAUGCUCGGCCAGGAAGUCAGCAAUUGCUUGGCCUUUGACUGCCCUUUGGGGUACAUACUGAAAACUGAACUCUGAUAAUGCUAGAAUCCACUUCCCAAUCCUUCCUGUUAGCAUUGGCUUUGACAACAUGUACUUUAUCACAUCUGUCUUUGCGAUGAUGUGUACGUGACAAGGUAACAUGUAAUGCCUUAGCUUACUGGCAGUGAAAUAUAGAGCCAGGCAUAAUCUCUCUACUGGGGAAUAUCUUGUUUCUACCUCGGUCAGAAUUCUAUUGAGGUAGUAUACUGCCUGCUCCUUCCCGCCUUCAUUAUUUUGGGCUAGCAAACUCCCGAUUGACUUUUCUGAGGCAGAAAUAUACAGCUUGAAGGGUUUUCCCCUUUGAGGUGGCACCAACACUGGUGGAGAAGUCAAAUAGGCCUUGAUGCUGUCAAAGGCCUGUUGGUGUAGUGGUCCCCACUCGAAGUUUUCUUUAUCUUUCAAUCUUAGUAAAGGAGUCAUCGGUUGGAUCUUGCCUGCUAAAUUGGCAAUGAAUCUUCUCAAGAAGUUAAUUUUGCCCAGUAGCCUCUGGAGUUGUACCUUGUUGGUGGGUGAAGGUGACUCCAUUAUUGCCCGAGAUUUGUUCUUGUCUACUUCUACACCUCUUUGAUGCACCAAGAAUCCCAAGAAGUUGCCCGCUCUUACUCCAAACGCGCACUUCUUUGGAUUCAUCUUCAAUUUAUGGAUCCUCAUCCUUGUUAAUGCUUGUUUGAGGUCUACCAGAUGCUGCUUUUCUGUCUUAGAUUUCACCACUAUGUCAUCGAUGUAUACUUCCAUGCUCUGGCCAAUCAGAUCGUGAAAGAUGGCAUUCAUUGCCCUUUGGUAGGUUGCACCAGCAUUCUUGAGCCCCAAUGGCAUGACCAGAUAUUCAUAUGCCACCACAUGUCUGGGACACCUAAAAGCUGUUUUAUGUAUAUCUUAUUAUACCUGGCAUUCCCAUCCAUAAAAGAUAAGACUUUAUGUUUUGCUACUGCAUCUAUGGAUAAAUCGGCCAUGGGCAUGUGAUACUCAUCUUUUGGUGUAGCACCAUUAAUAUUUCUGUAAUCCACACAACAUCGUACUGCUUUUGUUAUAGCUUUUAAAACGGGUACAAUGUUGGCCAACCACUCCAUAUAUUUGGCUGGUCUGAUAAAGCCAGCUUUUACUAGCCUUUCAAUCUCUUCUUUGACCUUUUCUUCUAUCUCCUUUGACAUCCUUCGUGGUGCUUGCUUAACAGGUUUAUAUCCCUCCUUGAUGGGCAUUCUAUGUUCCACCAAGGUUGAAUCUAAACCUGACAUCUCAGUAUAAUGCCAAGCAACAUAGUCUUUGAAUUCUUGCAAAAGGCAGAUAAUCUUUGCCCGAUCAUCAACCCCCAAUAAACCACUAAUUUGUAUUGGUCUUGGAUCCUCCUCUGUCCCUAGAUCAAUAACUUCCAGAGGAUCUUGAACUUCAGGUGGUGGCUUAUCCGGCUCUGCAUACAAAAAUUUGACUAGCUCUGGGCUAUCGGGCAAGUCGUCUGGCCCAUCUAAGUCAUAAAUACACUCGGCCAUUUGAAUGGCCCUUUCUAAUUCCUCUCUGCAAGAUCCCCCAUUGCUCUCAUGUUGGCUGGUUGAAGCUUCCACCUGCCAUUCCUGCUCUUCUUUGUCCAAGAACUCCCUUUCUUGCCUUCUUCCCUUCCCAUAUACCAACAGUCUUUUAAUCAGGGAUCUGACCAUUACCUGAUCUUUCCUCUUUUGUUUAGUCAUUGAUGGUGUAGGGGAUUUAAGAUGAUACAAGGUCUGUCCCACUCUUCUCUAGUAAGGAGCAUUCCUUGUUCCAAAAGCUUUUGGGCCGUCACCUUGGUAGGGCGGCCGUUCUUAUCAUCUCCUGAACAUUUCAAGAUUCCUACGUUGGGGUUGUAGAAACUUGCUUCCGCAACAUUAGCUGUAGGGAGAAAUGGCCGUGAUUCGGCCUCUACCAUCUCCCAAAAGCCUGGUCCUUCUGUGCCCGCUUCAUGAUAAACAGCCACUUGUUGAUGAAGAGUGGAGGGUAUGGCCAGACUUUGAUGGAUCCAAUCUCUUCCGAGUAAGGCUCCAUAAGUGGAGGUGCAGUCCACCACAAAGAAUGCCAACAUGAUAUGUUUAGAUCCCAAAUCCAUUUCUAAAGGCAAUAUCCCAUGAGUUUUGGUGAUAGCGCCCGAGAAGCUAGAGACCGUGAGGUCUGUAGGGAUAAGAUCCUCCGCGCCUCUUCCCAUUUUCCUCAUUUGCUUGGCUGGUAACACAUUAACAGUUGUCCCCCCCCAUCAAUUAAAAUUCUUCUGAAGGGCACCCCUUCCAAAUGAGCUGUAACAUAUAUGGGCUUCAGAUGAUUGGCCAAUGAGUCGGGCGGCUAAACACCAUUUCGUUUGUAUAAAUCCUUACAGGAUCACCUUUGGACGCUUCAGCGGAUUCAGCCUUGCCUGAUUCUCCUUCUUCGACCAUCUCCACAUUGACAUGUGCCAUCAUUGGCUCAGAUAUGAAGUAAUCACCCUCCAUAGUAGCGGGCUAAUCAGAUCUGGCACCAAACAUGGCGGAUAAUACAUACGCCAUGUUGAUAUGAAAAUUACUAGGCUCGGGCAGAUCUUCUUUCUUGCUCUCAAUCUGGUCCAUGAAUUCAUCCAACCAAGCCAUCACAUCUACUGGAAGUAGUGGUUCUAAUGCCCUUUCUUGCCGAUCCAUGCCCGCAUACAGCGUUUGCUUUGGAACUUCACCAAAAGGAUCUACCAAUGGCAGAGAAGGUGGUUUCCUUUCAGAUGAAAUAGUUCCAAAACAAAUAGGCUAUGGCUUCCAUCCGGGAGUUGGUACUAUGAUUAGAUCUUCUUGAGCCCGCCUCAAGAUCCUAUACUUCCCAGGGUGUUGGUUCUGCGGCACGUGAGUCCCUUCGCCUUCUGUCUUGCUAUUGGCCUUUUCCACCUCUUUCUUACUUCUCCAGCCGAGCUGACUACUUCCCCCAGAUGAUGUCUUCACCAAUUUUUGAUUUUGGGAGGCUUCAGAUGUUGCGGGGGUCUUAAGGGAAUUCAUAUAGGCUUUGUGCUGCCUUUGAACUCUCCUGACCAUGGAGGCUCCCAUUUGUUUGGUAGGCUGUCCAUUCUUUCCGACCACGUACCAUUUUCGCCCGAGGUGAGUAGGAUUUCCUUUCCUCACAGGAUUUGUUAUCCCAUCAAUCCUCUUGAUUUCCUUCCCCAUAUGGCCAUAUUGAGGAUGAUCUGCAUCCCUUUGUGUUUUGGCCUCCAUAUCUUCUGCCUCUUCAGAAGCUUCAUGGUUUCGAAAUACUUCUGAUAAAGCUUUGGGUUGGGAAUCACCUCCUAAUCGUUGAAAAACGCUUCGGGAAGUGUCUUUUCUUGUUGCCCCCUUGAUCUUUUCGCGGGCUUCUCUCCUCGCAUUGGCACUUACUACACAUAACCAUCCCCUUGAUUAUGGCUGCUUUUGGAUAUUCGAGGCAAUGUGAUUACCCUUCCUGUAGGUUUUUUAGCCAGUCUUCCUUCCUCCACUUCCCUAGUGAUUUUUUCUUUUCCCUUCUCAGCCCAUGCCAUACUGAUCAUAUUUAUAGGGGCUUCUAAGAAGGGAACUGCAGGUUUGUCCAUCAUCACCUCUUCUGGCUGGCUGGUUUUAAGUCUCUUUUCCUUGGAAGGAACUAAGUCUGUUUCUUUUCUGGAGCCUGUGGAGGUUUUCUCCAAUCUUUGCAACAUCUGCAGCAACGUGGUUUGCAAAUCUUCUGGCGUUUUUUUUACAUAUAUCUUCUGAUCGAAUGUAUCCCACCGGGCGUGCCAAAACUAUGUUCGCGUCAGGAAUUUCCAUCGGGGAUGUUUCUUGGCCGACGAGCGCACAACUCCCUUGGAGGUUGGCACCAGUUGAGAACUGCUGUCGGGCUUCUGCUUCAUUGUCGGGCUUUGUCGGGCAAGGCUCGUCGGGCAAGACUUAUCUGGCAAGGCUGGAAAAGAAGGACAACGUUAACUUUGAAAGGUGCCUUUGUGGGGCCUUAGGUGUAGGCCUUGAGGCUCACAAUCAAGAUUAACGUCUAAGUACUCAAGCGUGCCACUGCCAUCUCUAGCAUGGCAGAUGUAAAAUGGAUGUCGAGUUUUAGUUGUGUAUAUAUAUAUAUAUCCGAGAAACCGUGUUAGUUAUAACAGGUGCCUUUGUGGGGCCUUAGGUGUAGGCCUUGAGGCUUCCUAUCAAUAACUAAACCAGUACUCGUACACAUAAUAUUUGUUCCAUUGACUGCGGGAGUCUUACAACUAUUAUACUUCUGAUUACCUGAAUCCGAGAAAUAGAACGGACUCAAAUAGGUGCCUUUGUGGGGCCUUAGAUGUAGGCCUUGAGGCUUCCUAUCAGAAUUCGUUCUUUGUACUCAAACAUUCUAGACUGCGGAAUGGAAUGAAUCCAAAUAGGUGCCUUUGUGGGGCCUUAGGUGUAGGCCUUGAGGCUUCCUAUCAGAAUCCAUUCCACGCUUAAGCGUUCUAUGAUAUUCAUAAUAUAAUAGAAAUAAAACUAAGGGAUAGGUCGAUUACUUGCGCCCCAAGUAACCUCGGACUUCUUGUUUAUCAAGAACUAUCGUGGAUGGGUUAAGUCCACAUAAGGUUCUUUUUUAUGCCUUGAGGUCAAGGACUUUCAACUGAUCAAAUUUGCAUGCUCGAGGGCUUAGAACUUAGAUCUGGUUUGAACAAUGAAGAUAUAUUCAAAUCGGAUCCAAGUACUGAGAGUGUCUUUUAAUAGUCAUCUUACUAGAAAUAACUUGAAUACAACUGAAAGUAUACAACAUAUUGCUAGGCUAAUGAAUAAAAAGACAAAAAGAAAACAAAGAAGGUCAGGCAAGGUUUAACCUUGUCGGGCAAGCCUGAUCGUCUUGCAGGUCCCUAUCUUUGUGGCUUAUCAAGGGUCUGAGGGCUUUAGAGAGAGGUGAGGAGAAGAGUUUAAAGAGAAAUCGAUACUACAACAAGGUUGAACAGGGUAGCAGAGCUAUUACAAAGGUUUGAGUGAAGGCUUGUCCCGAGAGGGAUGAAGGCUUGGGCUGACUACAGCUUCGUUUUGAAGGCAAAUCUGGCUUUGAGCAGAGUUUGUGCUUGCAUUUGUUUGUUUGAUUGAGUGUCCUUAUUCCUGAUUUCUCUUUCUUCUUUUAUAGACAACUCAGCUUGGCCUCUUGUAGCAGCAGCCUUGCCCGAAGGCAACUUGAGAAGCAGUGACUCAUCAGCUAUUUUACUUGUUGUGCCAUUAUAAAGUACUUUAUGGGCUGUAUAGCUGGCCAGUCUAUACCACUUGGCUUUUGGGUAGGUGAGCAAGUGGUCUUCAUGAGCUGCACCAAGUCAGAAAAGCCCUUUUCUGCUUUCUGGGUUUUGACUGGGCUUCGGCCGACUCUUCCUUUAUGCACUCUUUUGGGCCAGCCCCUUUUCUGAGCCCAAAGUUCAAGUUUUUGAGCCAAACACAAAGUGAAGGAUAUUGAAUUUUGUUAUCAUUUUUAAAUUCAAGAAAGGCAGUCUGUGCUGCCUCUUCCGUUCUGAUUUGAAGAAGAUUUCUCAAGCGGCUAUAAUUUCAUGGCAGGUUGGUUUAAAUCAGUUCCAAAAUUUGGGAUCAUUUGGGAUAUUUUUAGGUUUUUCUGUCCCUCACAAAUCAUGGCUUGCUAAAAAAACCGAAGCAGUUUAAGCUUCUUCAGCUUUUUGAUUUGGAUUGAAGAUGAUUUUUAGCCUAAAAGUCUAAUGUUCUUUGAAUCCUGCAUCUGGGAGUGUUUUUUUUUUUCCAAAGAUGUGGGAUUUGUUUUCUUCAAUUUUAAAAUAUUACAAUUGAAUUCUUUGUUUGGGUAAAAAUUUAAUUGGAUUCUGUAUGGGUUCUGAUGAGGCACUGAAUUGGGUUUGAGAGUUUUGAUAUUAUGAGAGAGGUAGGGAGUAUAUUGGGAGAGAGGGAGGUAGGUGAUUUGCAGAAAUGGAGGGUGAGAGAAAAAUGGGAGAGAAGGGGUAGUAUAUUAUAUUUUGAUUUUAUAAUUUUGGGGGUUUUGUGUUUAAACUUUUUCAGUACUUUUUUCGCAGAUAUAGCCUACAAAUGUCAAAGAGCUUUCAGUGUACAUGUAAAGCAAAAGUAUACAAUAAUUCCAAUAAUAUUUUUCUUCUAACACUGUUAACUUACUCUGUUCCUUAUUGUUAAGCAUAUAGUUUUCAGCGAUCUCUGGACAAUCCCUAUAUAUGCAUUGUAUUUGUAUAUUAGUUUCACUUAGUUGAAGGUCUUGAAAAACUUAAUUUAAUAAAUCCAAAAUGUGUUUUCCUUUAGAAACCGUUUGAUAACCAUUUGGUUUUUAGUUUCAAAUUUUUGUUUAAAUUUAUUUUUGGGCAUUUACGAUAACUUUACUUUAGUAUAUGUAGAUUUAAUAUUACAAUUUAGUAUAAAUUUAUAUAUUAUCUUCUUCUUAGGUUCUUCAAGCAUUUAGCUUCUUAGAAUAUCAUUUUUGAAAAAAGUUGGAGUAGUGCAUUUUAUAGUGUGGUUGAAGUGGGAUUUUUGAGAGGGAAGACUAGUGGAUCUCUGAAAAGGAACUGGGUGGAGGUAAUACUGAAUUUAAUAGAGUUGGGUGUUUUGCAAGCAUUGAACAAAUUUUACAAACACUGAAUUUAAAAAUUGAAUAUACAAAUAAAAUUGUAGGUCAAAUUCAAUAUUAGUUCUCUUAACUUUUGUUUAAUAGAUUUAUACUAUUAUAGGUUUAAUGAAUAUUAUUUUUAGUUGAUAAUUAAUUGAUGAUUUUGAAGUGUGUAAUAUCUUUUGAAAUGUAUAUAAAAACCAAGCUGCUUAUCUUACCGAUCUCGUUCACUCAUCUAUGCCUCUGUUCAUUUAGAAUUAUGUUUAAUUUAUUUAAGUUAAAUGUGUCUUAUUCAUGCAGUUAAGGCUGAUGCAUCCCGUAGCAACGCGCAAGCAUAUUUACUAGUUGCUUCUACACUCAGACGCAUUGUCAUUCGUCACCACUCCUCAUUCCAAAGUCAACUGUUAAUUUGUGAACAAGUUAAUACUUAGGAAUCCUGUAGCCUGUCGAACAUUAUUUGAAACUCUGUUGAAACAAUCAUCUGUUUGCAACAAUCAUCUGGUUGGCUUCGAUGGCUAAAGAAGCAGCAGCAGCUGCCUCAUCUUCUUCUCCUUCCCGUUGUUUCACCAAUUCAUGGAAAUACCAUGUAUUCUUGAGUUUCAGAGGCGAGGACACGCGCUACAAUUUCACAGGCCAUUUGCAUACAGCUUUGUGUCAAAAAGGAAUUAACACCUUCAUGGAUGAUUAUCUUUCAAGAGGAGAAGAAAUAUCAACAUCGCUCCUCAAAGCGAUUGAAGAGUCGAGGAUUUCUGUCAUUGUAUUCUCGGAAAACUAUGCUUCCUCAAGGUGGUGCUUGGACGAACUUGUUAAGAUCAUUGACUGCAAGAAAUCAAAUCAACAAAUGGUGAUACCGGUAUUUUACAAGGUGAGUCCCUCGGAUGUUCGAAAUCAAAAGGGUUGUUUUGGAGAUGGACUUGCUGGCCUUGUGUGCAAAUAUAAGGAUAACGUUGACAAGAUCCACAAAUGGAGGCCAGCUCUUUCAGAAGCAGCAAACUUGUCUGGGUGGACUCUCUUGGAUAAGUAUACAUUAUUACUUUAACACUUCCUUCUGCUUUUGCUUGUUUCAAUUUCUCUACACUUUUGGUAUGUAUAGAUUAAAAUUUUUUGUGAUAGGAUCAAGAAUCAAAAGACCCAACAUGUCAUCAAUUUGUGGCCUUGUCAUCCAUUUGUGCAUAUUUGGAGUCCAAAUUUAGUGUACAAAUUAGUGUCUCUAGCAUACUUUAUCCAAUCUUCCCAAACUAUAAAAAAAAUAUUGGUUUGUAAAUAUAACUAGAAGGAAAUUCUGUUCUACUUUUGUGUGCAUAUUUUCUUCCCUCUUUUAAAAAAACUUGCGAAAAUGUCAUUUAUAAGAUGUUCCUUGUGAUUUUAUACUUGCAGGCAUGAAGAUGAAUCGAAAUUUAUUCAUAACAUUGUUGAAGAGAUUUCCACGCAAGUAAUAAACCGUACAUAUUUGGAUGUGGCCGAAUACCCAGUUGGAACAGUUUCUCGUGCACAAGAAAUAAAUAACCUCUUACAUGUCGGGAGAAAUGAUGUCCGUAUGUUAGGUUUAUGGGGGACUGGUGGAAUUGGUAAAUCAACAAUUGCCAAAGCUGUUUAUAAUUUAAUUUCCCACAAAUUCGAAGGCAGUUGCUUUCUCAGUAAGGUUAGAGAAAGUUCAAUGACAGAAAAAGGAUUGGCCAAAUUACAAACGACACUUCUUUAUGAGAUUCUAGGGGGAAUCAAAUUGAAGGUGGCCAAUGUUGAUAAAGGAAUCACUUUAAUUAAGGAAAGAUUAAGCAGUAAAGGGAUUCUCUUAGUUCUUGAUGAUGUGAACGACAUGAAACAGUUACGAUGCUUAGCUGGGGGAUCAGAUGGUUGGUUUGGCAUGGGUAGUAGAAUUAUCAUAACGACGAGGGAUAAGAAACUGUUAACUACUCAUCAUCAUAAUAUUUCGAUAUACAAGGUGAAGGAAUUGAACUAUCAUGAAUCUCUCGAGCUCUUCAGUUGGAAUGCCUUCAAAAGCAAAGGACCUUUGGAUGGUUAUGCGGAACUUGCAGACCAUGCAAUGCGGUGUGCUCAAGGCCUUCCAUUAAUUUUGAGAGUUUUAGGUUCACAUUUGUACCGUGAAAGGAAAGAUAAGUGGCAUGCUAUAUUAGAUGGUCUGAUCAAAAGCCGAGAAAUUCAAGAUGUUUUCAAGAUAAGUUAUGAUGCAUUGGAUGAAAUAGUGAAGGAAGUUUUUCUCGACAUUGCGUGCUUCUUUAAAGGGGGAAAUGGUAGCUAUGUGAUCGAAAUAUUAGAAGGAUGUGAGCUCAACCCCAAGCAUAGCAUUGACGUACUCAUACAGAAGGCCCUCGUAAAUAUAGAUCAUGGUUUUAUAUGGAUGCACGAUUUGGUAGAAGAAAUGGGUAAAGAAGUAGUUCGCCAACAAUCGCCCAAUGAUCCAGGAGAGCGCAGCAGAUUGUGGUUUCAUGACGAUGUUUAUCGUGUUCUGACAGAAAAUACAGUAAGUUCAUUUGACAACAUUUUAUUUGUUAACGAGACAUGCAUUUUGUUUUAUAAGGAACUUGCAUUGUUAAUACCUUUGAAUUUUCAUACUAGGGAACGAAAAACAUUACAGGCAUAAAGGUGCAGCUGCUUGAAUCGGAUAAUGAGAUAUGCUUAAGUCCUACAACCUUCUCCAACAUGAAAAAUCUUAAAAUUUUCAUAAACUGUAAUGGACGGUUUUCUGGAGCCGUUGAUUACCUCCCCAACAACUUAAGGUUCGUUGAUUGGCCUGAAUGUCCGUUGAAAUCUUUGCCGCCCAAUUGUAAUCCGAAGAAUCUUGUUCUACUCAACAUGAGGAACAGCCAUAUCACAGUAUUCGGAGAGGGAUUUAAGGUAUAUACGUUGAUCUUUUUUCUUUCUGUUUUAUUUAAGGCUAAAGAGUCUUUUUUCUGUGUCCCCUUUGAAAUGUUUUCAUCCCUUCCUCUCUUUUUUUCUUCACAGAACCUGACGAAGCUGACUUCUAUAAAUUUAUUUGGCUGUCAAUACUUAACAAGAAUCUCCGACUUCUCCGGAGUUCCAAACUUAGUGAGGUUGGAUCUAGGAUUUUGCAAAAAUUUAACUGAGGUUGAUCCAUCAGUUGGAUUUCUUAAUAAACUUGAAGAACUAAGUCUUCAGAACUGCUAUAACCUUACAGUGUUUCCAACAACAAUAAGCUUGAAAUCUCUGAGAACUUUUGAUCUUUGCGGUUGCAAAAAGUUUGAGAUAUUCCCGGAAAUUGUGGGCAAAAUGGAAAGCCUAAAUCGUUUGGAACUUUAUGGUACUGCUAUAAAAGAAUUGCCUCCAUCAAUUGAAAAUCUCACCGGGCUUGAAACCUUAGUGUUAUUAAAAUGUGAAAACAUUGCAAAUCUGCCGCAAAGCAUUUAUGCGCUGCCCCGUCUUGGAUAUCUUAAUCUCAGUGGCUGCCCAAAGCUUGUUACACUCCCUCCGGAGCUUCCAAUUAACUCAAACAUUUCACGUGACAACUUUGGGUCAGUAGCAUUUCCCAAUCUAUGGACUAUACGUUUUGAUGAAUGCAAUUUAUCGGACUUUGAUACCCUUGCAAAUUUCUGUUGCUCAUCUAAAUUAGAAAGAAUUAGUCUACGUAAUAGCAAUUUUGAUAGUCUUCCUGCAAGCAUUAACAAAUUUGUGUGGUUGGUGGAACUUGAUUUGUGUGGUAGCAAGAGACUUAGAGAAAUUUUAGGACUUCCACCAAAUAUAAGACGGAUUAACGUUGGUGAUUGCAUAUUGCUGGAAAUAUUUCCAACAUUGUCAGAGAUGAUACUGGUAGACGGAGACAUGAGACUCAUUCGUAUUAUGAACAUAUCUAAUUGCCCAAGGCUAUGCGAAAAUUUGGCUUUGGACGUCUCCAAGAUGGCAAGCGUAUUACUGCAUCAGGCACUUCUCUCUCUCUCUCUCUCUUUUUUCCAUUUUUCCACUCUUCCACUAUGAACGACUAAUUAACAUUCAUUAUAUGAAUCUUACAGGCGGGGAAAUGCUGGGAAGUGCUAAACAUUAUACUUUCAGGCAGUGAAGUUCCAAAUUGGUUCAGUUGCCGCAAGGACGUACGUGUGGUUACAACUGAUCCUGGUUGUAUAUGUGAAAUUUUUAUUGAAAUCCCUCGGACUUUCAAAUGGAAAAACACAGGACUUGUUUUCUGUGCUGCUUUCAAAAUCACGCAAAAUUUUUCUGGACAAUGCUUUUUUCAUACAAGGACUGCAGUCAAUGGAGUACCUAUAAAUGACCCGGCUCACAUAAAGUCAGAUGCAGCUCAUGUGUGGCUAAAAUAUAUUCCAUUACCGGCUCACAUAAAGUCGAAGGUGGAUGAGGGUGGUGAUCAAUCAAAGCCGUAUCUGUGUCGAGUUAGUGUUUACCGCUUAUUUGGAAUAGGGUCGCUCUUAAAUGGCUGCGGUGUCCACUUGGGAAAUUUCAGUAUGCCCGAGGAUGGUGGUGAAGAUGAUGACGAUGUAGAAGACGAAGAUGACGACGAUGUAGGAGGUGAUGACGAUGAUGGUGAAGAUGUUGACGAUGUUGCAACAUUUUCAAAUCUCUAAUCAUGUUUUUAUGAUGGUCAUUCUUGUUUUGAAAGUUUUUCUUCUGCUAACUCAACAAGUGUGGGGUUUUAUACAAAGUGCAAAUAGUGAAACCAUGAAAUAUAAACUGUAUUCAUUUUGGUCAGGUUUCUGACGUGGGACUUCACAUUCUUCAACGCUUCCAAGAAGGCCAUUGAUAUACGAUUCCUCUCUUCUCUCUUUUGUGUUUAAGGCAAGGAUUUGGCUCCAUUUUAACGCUCUCUCUUGUUUUUCUUCUGCUAGUUUUCAAUUCUUAGAAUUCUUUGUGAUUUUCGUUUACAGAAAAAUAAUCUCCAUAGCUACGGCUAGGAGAGAAACCUAUACUAUAAAAAUGAAUCGAAAUAGUGGAAUUGCAUAAUUGUAUAUAGGCGGAACCCCAAUGCUUUAAUGCUAUUUGGAGCAUAUGGUAUCUACAAAACAAGAUGCUGUUAUACCAUCUGCAGUUAAUGGAAUAGAAUUCCAUCUUGCUAAGCAUUUAAAAGGCCACAGAAAUGUUUCCACAGGAAGUCAACCGAGUGUUUGCAGAUUGUAUAAAACAUCAUAUAGCUGGUUGUGUUUAAGGAACAUCAACAAUGCCAACAAUUACGAUACAACUAUAUAUAUGUUGGACAAUUUGAGCAUUACCCCGCUAAUCCAAUCUGGCUUUUACGACGAAAACGCCCCAAAGUUUGUUGCAUUUCCAGAUCAGGCAUCAAUCCUAUUUGGAUCAUUUCUUCAACAAGCCUCGAAGCUUCACCGAUUCUGUUAACGUUUAUAUAGUCGUUGACCAAGGUUUUAUAGGAAGCAAUAUCAGGCGCAUAACCCAUAUAACGUUUAUUCCUUCUUAGUGAGUGAAUAAAACUGUAAGUGCUCCAAUUUCUUUCACAACAAGAGGAGGAACAAGGUUGUCCAAGUAGCUUCAACGCUAUGGAUUGGAGACUAGGUGUAGAAGCUCCAUGGACAAUCCACCACAUUACUGGUUCCAAAUGAAACCUAUCAUUCAUAGAAUCAAUAGCUCCAAAGUCAUUCAAGCACAUAGAGAAAGAGGCAUACUCCACAUUGAUACUUCUUCUAAUUUCCUCAUUGGAAAAGUAUCUCUCAAAACACUUUUUCCUUUCAGUUGUAAGCUCAACAUCUCGGUGUGGAGCAAUCUGACUAGGGUCUUCUUGGAGCCAUUCUGAACUAUAAUACCUAAAAUAAAAGAAUAGCACUUUAAAAAUAUAAUCAUAAAGCUAAAGAUUAAUUUGGAAGAGUUUAUAAGGAUAUUAGCAAAAUCAUUACCUUGGAUUUAAUGAAUGCGCCAAACAAUGAAGUGGUGUGCUACUUUUAGUCCAUCACUCUAAUAAAAUGCGAUACACCGCAUCAAAAAAGCUGCUUUUUUCAUGUAAUGCCUUGCGCUCAUUCCUAUAGAUAGCAGCUUUCACCUUUUCAAUCAUAACAUCCCACCACUCAUACACCAAGUGAAGACAAGGCUUAUCUGUGUCAGCCAUUCUAAUAGCCUCAUAUAUUGGAGCUGUAAAGAAAAGAAUAUAAUCAAUCUUCUCCCAAAAGUACUCAUCCAAUAUUUUUUGCUUCACCGUCAUUGCUUUAACCAAAUCAUCUUCUUUGUACAAAGCCCAAUUCGGGCUAAUCACCAUUUGUUGUAAACCUUCCUUUACUUCCUUAAAUCUUCUAAGCAUCACAAGUGUGGAAGCAAAUAUGAAAAAUUUUAAAAUUAGGAUAGCUCAUAAUUGAAUAAGAAAAAAAAAGGAAAAAAAGUGGAGAAAACAAACCUUGUUUCGGCAAUGGAGAGCAACUUUAGUUUGCAAUGUUCAUUAAACAUAGACAAUCUCAUGCUAUGGUUCAUAAUAAAAUUUUUUAUGGACCAAACAUCACUAGCAAUAGUUGAAAUCCAAUUGCAGUCAUCGUACGAAACAUCUGUUUGUUUCGGAGAGCAUAUACUCUUCAAAGCAAGAUUAAGAGUGUGAACAACACAGGGUGUCCAAAAGAUAUGGGGAUAGCGGGCCUCAAUAAGUAACCCAGCAGCUCUAGAGACAGGAGCAUUGUCAGUGAUCACUUGAACAACAUUUUCAUGACCAAUUUCUUUAAUAGCUUCUGUAAGGAAGUUGGCAAUACAAUGCUUGUCUUUAUAUUCACCUUCACAAUUAAUUGGCCUCAAGAACAUUGGCCCGCUUUCACAAGUUGCCAUAAUAUUAAUAAGUGGUCUCCUUUGUGCAUCUGUCCACCCAUCACUGCACAAACUUACACCUUUAGUGCUCCAUGUGCGCUUGAUUGGUUGGAGGCAUUGCUCAAUGUGACUCUUCUCUUGUUGCAAAAGAGUAGUCCGUAGUGCAUUGUAACCUGGUGGAACAUACCCUGGAAGUGUAGAAGCUCGAACAUAUGAGUUUCGAUAGUGCGGAUUUCUUGCAAGGUUAAAUGAUAAGCCACCUGUAUAAAACAUCCUUGCAACUUCAGCAUCACACUGAUCUCGAGCUUCCUUGUUAAAAGCUUUACUAAGAGGCACACUUGUUCCCUUUCUCUUCUUUGGAUCAAGAUUCACUUCGGGUAGAUCAUAACAGAAAGAACCAGUAUUGGGCAAAGAAACAUUCUUAAGAGCAGAACUCUUCAGCUUAUAUUCACACUCUCGAAUUAACUUUUUCAUUUCUGCAAGAUUUUCAUCAGUAACCUUGCUGCAAGGCGCGACCCCGUUUCCAGCCAUUUUUAACAAAUGAAACUUGACCCUAGAGUAUGAUCCUUUGUAAGUUUUCUGACAAUAAUUGCAUUUAAAUUCAGCAUUCCCUCCUCCUCUUUUUCCCACUUUUUCGAGCUUUUUGACAUACUUCCACAACGGAGUAUGAUAAUUUUCAACAAUCUCAUCCGGAUUAGCAUUAUCAUCCGGAUUAGCAAUAUCAUUCGCAUGAUUAUUAGGGUGAUUCAUUUUCCUAAAUCAACAAACAUAUAAAGAGUAAUAGUUAAUCCACUGUAAAGACAAAGUUAUUAUAAUCUAAAUAUCCAUACCACUACACAAUAAUAUAUUAUAAUAUACAAAAUACAAUAAUAUUAUAAUAACAGAAAAAGUUAAAACAGAAAAGCAAAAGUCGUCAGAUGGACUAUGGGGAAUGGAUGGGUAUUAUUAUUAUAAUAUUAUAUUAUUGUUCUUGGGGAAUCAAAUUGUCUUGGAAUGAGUAUUAUAAUGUUGUUGUCUUCCAAUGGGUAUUAUAAUAUUGUUGUCUUCGAAUGGGUUGAACUUGAAACUUGAAUCAGUAAAGCUGAGACCUGAGACUGGUUAAAAAAACGAAAGCUCACCGGUCACCACCACUCACCAGGAGUUGCAGACAGAGACGAAGGAGAUGACGGAGCAGUUGUAGACGAAGAAGAGGGAGACGACGGCGCAGUUGCAGAUGGAGACGACAGGUCACAGAACAGUUGCAGAUGACGGGCAACUGGGAUUCGUGAAAGUCUCCCAAGCAGAGUGAUUUCUGAGAGGUAAAUCCGAAUUUUAAUUUUUUUUUUCUGAUUAUCCUCUGAUUUUAGAGUGAUUUCAGUUAACUAAGUUCGAUCAAACACGAUUCUAUGCGGAUUUUUUGUGAUUUUUUUUCUGAUUAUCCUCCUAUUUCAGUUUCAAAUGUAUCCGAAAAGUAGGAUACACGUAUCUGGACAGUACGAUACGCGUAUCUCGUUAGUCCCAACCGUAUCCCUUCACUCCAAUACGUAUCGGACGCGUAUCAUCCGCGUGUCAGAUACGGGAUACGGUCGCUUUCUCCCGUGUCCAUGCAUCGUAGUCCACCCGGUUCAGACGGCACAAGCAAUUCAGAAAAAUAUUCAUUGUACAGACAUCAGGUCGGAAUUGAGCACAACCCAUCAACUGUUUACACAUAGAAACCACAGCAAAAUGCUCCUUCAUCUUGGAGAGUGCCCCAAACAAACAAUUGAAAGUCCAAAUAGAGGGCAAGGGUUUGGUUUGAAUCAUGGAAUCGAAGUAACCCAAUGCUUCAUCUUUCCUAAUCUUUCCAGAUUUGCAUCGAGUUUGAAUCAAAUUGUCCGAUUCCGAAUGGGUUCGUUUAAAUCUAUCUGUAGUAAUAGCAUUAGCAUUACCAGCAGCGGAAUGAAAUCCAUCUUUUUGUGCAGAAAGGUAAAAAUGGAUGAAUGAUUACUUGUUGAGUUAGGAAGUCGUGUGCUUAUCUUCUUCAUCUUCCACAGAUUCAGCCCAGUUGUUAGGACCACAUUGUUUGGGGGCCUAUUAGCUCUCUCUCUAAGCCGAUACUUGUUAACCCACAACUAUGUUUUGCUCAAGGCCUAGCCUGUUUGGAACUAGGGUUUCCUUUUCAGUUGAAUAUAAAUGAUGUAGUGUAAUUUGUAAGACAUAUGAAGAAUGCAAUGUGUCUCAUUUCCUUUUAAAUGUCAUUACUCUUCCUUUUUCCUGCACUGUUUCUUCGAUUUCAGAGCCCAUCGAUUCGAUGGGCAAAAACACCCAGUCUGCCACCUCUUUUGAUCCCAAUGCGGUCGCCGCUGCUAUGGAUGCUUGCCAGGAUCACCUUCGAACCCAAGUUGAGGGUCUCUCAUAUUCCAUUGAAGCCCUUGAAACCCAACACCAAAACCUCCAGAAAUCAUUCGACCUCAUGACCACCUCCAAUGCAACCUUCCAAAAUACAGUAACCUCACAGUUUGCAGCAUUUCAAACACUCAUGCUCGACGAAUUUCACCUUCUCAAAUCUGGGCUUCCCUCCCUUCAAACCACCACAACCCUAACCCUACCCCACCCCCGUCAACUACUCGACCAACCACCACAGCUAGCCGUUCCCUCUUUGCACCGCUGACAACUACAUAUUCAAGCUUGGGUCUUUCUCACCCCCUCACCCAGUCUUGCUCCAUUGCCCCCGUACGUGUCCUUCACCCGCCCCACCCCGUCCCCAACAACUAUAACCAGUCACCCGGUUUUUUCCCAUCACCCAUUCCCAUCGUCCUCUCUUUUUCUUUUCCCGAACCCUUUUUCCCCUAUCCCAUCUCAACCCCACUUUUUCCAUGUCUUACCUUUAACAGCACCAUUUACCUCCCACACUCAACCACACACCAUACCCAACCAACAUUACUAACCUUCUACUUUUAAACCAAUAAAAAUGGAGUUACCACAUUUUAAUGGAGAUGAUCCAUAUGGAUGGCUAGCCAUGGCCGAAAGAUACCUGGACUACUAUGAGGCCCACCGAAUUAGUGGGUUUUGGUGGCUGCCUGUAACUUUAGGGCGGAUGUCUCUAUUUGGAUGUGAGGGUUCGAACAACGGUAUGGCCGAGAGAACUGGAGUCUAUUUGUGGACUUAUUGCUUCAACGUUUUGGGGGUGGUGAUCGAGCGAAUAUUGAAUCACAUCUCACUCACAUUCAACAAAAAGGCACUGUGGAUGAAUUCAUUGCCGAAUUCACCAAACUGUCUUAUAGGGUGAUAGAUUGGAUAGAAAAUCAGUUGAAACAUGUUUUCCUUGGGGGAUUACGAGAUGACAUUUGUCACGAUGUCCUAGCUCUCGAACCUGACUCCCUCCACCAAGCCCAAAGCUAGCCAAAAUCUUUGAGACCAAAAACCAAGCCAAACGUUAUACCCGUCCCCUUUUCCCUCGUCCUUUCCAAUCCUCAUCCUUUUCGAGACCCAUUAUUCCUACUAUUCCACCACCUGCCAUACCACCUCCCCACCCACUUCAUCACCCCACGGCUCCCUUCAAACGUUUAACCCCAGCCGAGGUUCAAGAUAAAAUCAGAAAAGAAAAAAGUGUUUUCACUGCAUAGAGCCACAUGUCCCUGACCAUAAAUGCAGGAACCCCAUGAUUGUAUUGUUGGACAUUGAUACCCUCGAGGAUAACUCCCAUGAAUUUCAUGAUUGUAACCCCGAUGAGGAUCAUCCUAUUGAUCCCACGUGCCAUAUGCUCAAGCUAUUCUCUAUACCGAACCUUGGAAUGGGUUAUCCCAUGUGAUUGCACGGUUCUAUCGACUCCACAUCCAUCAAAGUUCUCAUUGACUUGGGGGCUGCCUGCAACCUCUUGAGUGUCGAUAUUGCCCAGCGUCUGUGGUUACAAAUUGAACAUAUUCACCUAAUACUGUUUACCACGGCUUCUCGCAAACAGGUUACCACCACCAUGAGAGUGCACAAUGUAGCCGUAACCCUACAAGAUUACACCCUAGUUGGUUCCUUUCUCCUACUCAACAUCCCUGGGUAUGGUUUAGUUUUGGGGGCUGAAUGGCUAAAGUCCCUAGGCUUUAUUGGCUGGCAUUUCCUGAACAAAACCAUGUUUUUCACAUCAAUGGGCCACACUUACACCCUUCAAGGCCUUACUAUAGCCCAACCCAUCUUUAACCCGUGCCACUCAACCCAACUUCCAGAUACCUCUAACCCCCCCACCACUUCACCCCAAAUUACCCACCGACACACCGCUUUCCCCACCCCCUAAUACCCACCUUGCAAUCAUCUUCCUCUUAUCCCAAUACAAACACCUAUUCUGCCUUCCUUUAGGCCUCUCACCAACCCGACUAAUAGACCACAAGAUUCCAUUACUCCUAAAUACCAAACCCAUCAACGUACGCCCAUAUCGUUACCCCAAUUCCCAGAAGGCUGAAAUUGAGAGACAAGUGCAAAACUUCAUUUCUUUUGGUGUCAUUCAAAACAACAACAACCUAUUCUCUUCCCAUGUCCUCCUAGUAAAAAAGAAAGAUGAGUCAUGGCGCCUUUGCAUUGAUUAUAUAGCACUAAACGAUGCUACCAUUAAGGAUUGUUUUCCAAUCCCGGUGGUGGAUGAGCUCUUGGAUGAGUUACAUAGUGCUUCGAUCUUCUCCAAACUCGACCUACGUUCCGGUUACCACCAGAUACGGAUGUGCACGGACGACAUUGCCGAAAUUGCAUUUCGUACACACUACGGUCACUUCGAAUUUAUGGUAAUGCCAUUUGGUUUAUCCAAUGCACCAUCUACUUUUCAAGCUCUUAUGAACUCCAUUUUCAGUUCGUACUUGCGUAAGUUUGUGUUAGUAUUUUUUGAUGAUAUACUUGUGUAUAGCCUAUCUUUGAAUACUCACUUAUCCCAUUUGGAGAUUGUUUUCCAAGUUCUUUCCACUAACAACCUGAAAGUGAAGCUCAACAAAUGCUCUUUUGGCCAAAACAAAAUAGAGUACUUGGGACAUUCUAUUUCGGGCAACGACGUAUCAGUUGAUGCUUCCAAAAUCCAAGCCAUAAUUGACUGGCCCUAACCGACAUCCAUCAAAGGUCUUCGGGGAUUCUUAGGACUCACCGGUUACUACUAUAAAUUUGUUCAUCACUACGGAUUGAUCGCAAAGCCCCUGACCACAAUGCUUUAGCACGACAACUUUACAUGGACACCCGACUCCAUUGCGGCCUUCACUAAGCUCAAGCAGGCUUUGGCAUCCACUCAAAUUCUUGCCUUUCCUGAUUUCAACAAACAGUUUGUGGUCGAAACAGAUGCUUCAAGUGUGGGCAUAGGCACCGUGUUAACCCAGGAAGAUCAUCCCAUCGCUUAUCUUAGCAGAGCAUUAUCUGGCCGCAACCUUGCUCUUUCCACAUACGACAAAGAGAUGUUAGCCAUUGUGUUUGCAGUACAACAUUGGCGACCAUAUUUAUUGAUUCUUUUCUGGAAUCAAGCUGCAAUUGAAAAGAAACUGACUUCAAUUGGUUCUUGUUUCAAACCCUAAUUCUGUAUUCUGAAAAACAACACCCUUGGUGAAGAGGAUUUUGCUUGCAACCUCAAAAUCUUGUGUCAAUGACAUAAAAAUAUAUGCAACAUGAAUUUACAGUGUUAUACUCUAUAUAUCUAUAUAAGACUAAAAAGGUGAAGUUUUUAAAAAGUUCAUAAAUACCGCUCAUUAAUUUUUUUUUUUUAAGGAAUACAACUCAAUUAAAAAGAUAAAAACUAUAAAAAUACAAAAUAAAACUACUUCGCGCACAUGAGUGGUCUUUUAUCACAGUAGUGAACAUGUGUGGUGCUAUUGCAUGACGACGUGAAUUCGAACUCUGUCGGGAGCUCAUCUCGAGAGCUAAUCUAACAUUUAACUUACUAAUGAUAUUGGUCUACUUAAAAAAAGAAAAGAAAACUACUUAGUUGAUGUAUUUUAUUUUUUUUCUUUUAAACAAUAUAAAUUUUAAUUUAAACUAAUAAAAUAAAUAGAAAACAAAUUGUCACACGUGUAAACAUGUGACAAGAGGACUAGCAUAAAUGAAAUGAGAAGGCAAAAAAAGCGAAACUUUCAUAAUACCUAAAUUGCCCUUUUUCUAUUAGGAAUUUCCAAACAAAAAAAAUUAAAAAAAUACGUAGUGGUAUUGUGAUUGGUUUGUAAGUUCAUUAUUUUCCAAAAUAUAUUUUAUUACACCAUGUUAUUGUGUACUUAUAUAUGUAAGUUGCUUUUUAAUGACUUUUUUGAGUCACUGACACACCCCGAUCUCGAGAAUCAAGGCGUGCUGGCCGUCACGUGAGCGUGACGUAGCCAAAAGUGCGACACAGAAGCAAGACAUAAUAAAAUAUGCAGGGAAUUUAAACCAAUCACUAGCAGUAAUAACCUACUAGCAUAAAAGAGUGAGUUAUAAAGUAAAACACACAAAUUCAGAGCGUAGGUCUCAAGUGCAGUCAAGUAGGACUAUAAUUAAAAGUACAACACCCGCAGGUGAGUCCUACAUGCAGAACGUCUGUCAGAAUGCCGAAAAAAGACCUUGUGAGCCACCAACUGCUAACUAGAACCUGGAGGGGCGCAAACAAAGAUGAGUGGGUCAGUAAAACCAAAGAUUUUCCAAAACAUUUCAUUCAAAACAUUUAUAACCCCUCACCGUAAAACAUGUAUACUUUCCCAGAAAAAUAGUAUAUAAACAUAUAUAUACAUAAAUCAUCAACUCGGCUCACCAUCUAUCAACACAACAUCUCAGAAAGAAUAUGCCAUGCCAUGCCAAAAUAUAAUAUGAAUGCAUCGAUAUAAAUCAGGUGAAAUAAUAAAUCAACCGGAUACCCUACAGUGGUCCUGUAUGGCUGAUUCUAUAGCUCAACAUCCCACUCAGCUGGAGUCACCACAGUGACCUAUACGGCCCAACUCUGCACGUCACUCGGAACUACGUAUGGUAGUCUGUACGAUGAAAGGUGUAUAAAUACGCUUUAGUGCUUCUCUCAUCAAUCAUCGGCGCGCAUAACUAAGGUCACCCACUAGUCGGAAUCACAUCUAGUGAUCUAUACGACUAGCAUGUCGGAACCCUCACAUGGUCUGUACGACAUCCACCUACUUGGAUCCAAGGCGAGCGUGCGGUGUGGUGAAUAAUAUAAGCACUAACACCUAGGGUGCAUGUUAUGAGCUUUCAAUGCAAUUCACAUAAAAUAAAUCGUAUGAAUAAUGUAAAAACUCACUUGUGCGUCCACAUCGUCAAUUCACAUAUAUAUACCUCAAUUAUCAAUUCAAAUAUCUCAACAAUUGCAUGCAUGUCAAUUUAAAACAUAUAUUCAUAUAAUUGCAUUUUCUGGGAAAAACAUUAGUAUAUAGAUAAUACGAAAACAAAACUGCCCACUCACUGGUAAGUCGAUGGGUCAUAACCCCCGUGACGUCCCUGGAUGCGCUCAUCCUCGGGAUAGGUGUCACCUAUAUGCGAAAUAACUAUAAAAACGUUAAUUUAAACACAUAACCAACAAUUCGAAAUAACUUCUUAUACGAUGCUCAAUUUGGGUAUAUGAAUAUACCACAUCGACCUACUCGACGUCACGGACGUCGAGAAAUUUUUAGAAUUAUUUUUAGGCUUGUCACGCGCCCCCACGCGCCAUGGGUGGCACGGACCUACGCGCCCCCACGCGCGUCAUCUUCCUCAGCCAGUCGCCAGACUGGUUUUUCCGGUGGCCGGAUUCCGGUGAGUUUUGUAAUUUCUUGUUCUCCUUCGUUUCUCAACCGUUUUCUUCGAAUUUUAUAUCAAAAUGAAGCCCUAAACAUGUAGAAUCACGAUGGACAAGUUUCAAGGUCUAAAAUUCACUAGAUUUUACCUGGGGAAGCACGAUAGUUCGGAAAUUUUAAGAACCUCCGUUCUCGGUCCUCCGACGUCCAAAUAUCACCAACGAAGUACCCCGAAGCUCGUGAGGAUGUCCUUAAGCUCACUGUGAGCUUGAAAUUCCCUGAAAUGCAAGAUUUCACAUGUGCAUGAACAUUGCACAUUUUCGGGGUUAGGGUUUCACAACGAUUCUGAGGGUUUCACUUCCUAAAACUAGUACCAAUCGACUCAGAACAUCACAAGGAUGAAGAAUCAUACCUUAUUUGCUUCGAUCCACGAAGUUUUGGAGGGUUUUGGUGAUGUCUGUAUGUUCGAGGGUGAGAGAGAGUGAGAAAGUCGUGAGGGAGGAGAGAGAGAGAGGCACGGGGGAGAGGUAGAGAGCAGGGAGUGUGUGUGUGUGUGUGGUCCAACACCAAACCACAUCAUCAAUUUUUCAUCUUAAUUCCCUAACCACACAACAAUCCCACAUAAGCAAAUUCCAAAGUUCAUAAAGUUUAAGUCUAAUUAAUGUCACAUACACGCAUACCUUAAUACCCGUCAAGGGUAAUUCAGUCAUUUCACGCUCCCGAUAAGAAAAUCUCGGGACGGGCUGUGACAGUCACACUAAAACGAUUUAGGAUAAUGUCAGGGAGAUCAAACUUUUUAAAUCAAAUCACCAAAUUACUGCGUACUUAUCCAACUAAAUUUUUUUUGUUUCAUUCUAAAACUAUAAUUUUUGUUUCACAUUCUAAACCCCGAAAGUAGUCAAGCAAAAAAUAACAUUGAGUAAUCCCCCAAUAAGCAAAGCCAAAUCCAAGAAGCAUAACUAAAAGUUCUAAGAUGGGUACUAGUUUAACCAAAAGGGGGUGAAUAGGUUCCAAGUUAAAAAACCAAUUCAAUUUUCAAUUUAAUUUUCACAACCACAAUACAUAUCAAAUUAUCAUACUUAUAUGCAGUUAAAACAAUAAAUAAAAUGUGAACAGGAUGUAGGAUUUAACGAGGCAAAACCCACAAUUGGAAAAAUCCUCGGGCUCUCAAGCCAGGACAAACACAAAGAGAAAUGAAUUACAAAACUCAUCUUGCUAGACACUCAAUUAGAAGGCAGUUUUGUCUCCACGCCUUUGCUACUCGAUCUCUCUUCAACCUUUGAGUGGAAGUGGCAUGACACUAAUGGGCCGUCAAUCAUUGUCUCCUCGAACUUUGCAGGAUACUAACGUGAUCAUGCAAAAUGUAUGUAAUGAAAUGAUUUUUGGAAAUCAACCAAUUAUGAAAAUCACAAGGCACAUUUUCAUAAUUGAUUUCUAAUCAAAGCGCAUGAAAAAUCAGUGAACAAAAAUUAAUAUUUUCUUUGAAAAACACUUGGCAAUAAAACUGAUUUUUCUGAAACGAAAAUAAGUCUACAUGCUGUGCAGAGUACGGUGGUGUAUUUCGUGAUUCUCAAGGUAUUAGGUGCUUUUGUAUUUUUCCUUUUCAACUUUAUUUGUAAGAUAAUGUCAGGAGGAGAGCAUAGGACAAGAAAAUAUCAUCGUCCAUGACUCCCAAGUCGAUCCUAAGAAGCAUCGUCAUUCGUCACCACUUCUCAUUCCAAAGUCAACUAUUAAUUUGUGAACAAGUUAAUACUUAUGAAUCAUGUAGCUUGUCAAACAUUAAUUGAAACUCUAUUGAAACAAUCAUCUGGUUGGCUUCAAUGGCUAAAGAAGCAGCAGCAGCAGCUGCCUCAUCUUCUUUUCCUCUUCCUUGUUUCACCAAUCCAUGGAAAUACCAUGUAUUCUUGAGUUUUAGAGGCGAGGACACGCGCUACAAUUUCACAGGCCAUUUGUGUAGAGCUUUGCAUAAAAAAGGAAUUAACACCUUCAUGGAUGAUUAUCUUUCAAGAGGAGAAGAAAUAUCAACAACGCUCCUCAAAUCGAUUGAAGAGUCAAGGAUUUCUGUCAUUGUAUUCUCCGAAAACUAUGCUUUCUCAAGGUGGUGCAGACAUCAGGUCGGAAUUGAGCGCAACCCAUCAAUUGUUUAUACAUGACAAAAGGAUCACAUUGAUUUGUGACACUUAUUUUUAAGGACAACAUUGACAGCAUCAGAGUGAAAUGCACUACUUGUAUUCUGCAAAAUGGUAAAAUGGUAAAAUGGAAAGAAGGAAAAUUACCCAGAGAUGGAUGUCUUGUGGGUAUCCUCUUCAUCUUCAUCUUCUGUUUCAGUUGGCUACACAAAUUCAGCAUAUCUCACUUCUUUAAACUAGUCACUUUGGGGAAGAGGAAAAAACAAGGAAGAAGGUAUUUAUGUUGGGCUCGGAAAUAUAGGGCCCAAAUUAGUUGACUACUUACAGAUCACGUGCCAAGCAAACAAAGAACAAGAGGAAACCUAUGUACUUUAAUUAUUUCGAUUUUAUUUCGGAUUUUCAAUGUUAAUUUUACAUUGUGAAUGUCCAAUGCAAUUUUUUAUUUAUAUUAUUUUCGAAUUGAUGAAUAUUGAUUGGUGGUGUAUCGUGUUUCUCAAGGUAUUGGGUGCUUUUGUAAUUUUCCUUUUCAACUUUCUUUGUAAAAUAAUGUCACUGACAAGAAAACCUCCAGAGUAGAAAUAUCCACAGAGCUCAUAAAAGCGAUUGAAGAAUCGAGGAUUUCUGUCAUUGUGUUCUCAAAAACUAUGCUUCCUCAAGGUGAUGCUUGGACGAACUUGUUAAGAUCCUUGACUGCAAGGAAUCAAAUCAACAAAUGGUGGUACUGGUAUUUUACAAGGUGAGUCCCUCGGAUGUGCGAAAUCAGAACGGUUGCUUUGGUGAUGGACUUGCUCACCUCGGGUAAAUAGCCUAGUGGUGAGGGUGUGGGUAAGGGGUGGGGUAGUUCUAGGUCCCAGGUUCGAAACCUGGUGUGUGUGUUUGUGUUUGUGUGGGUGGUGGAGGGUAACAAAAAAAAAAAAAAAAAAAAAAAAAAAUAAGGAUAACAUUGACAAGAUCCACAAAUGGAGGGCAGCUCUUUCAGAAGCAGCAUACUUGUCUGGGUGGACUCUCUUGGAUAAACGUACUUACCCUUGAUCCUGUUAUUCCAUCUUCAGUUAAUGGAAUAGAAUUCCAUCUUGCUCUAAGCAUUUAAAAGCCCACAGAAAUGUUUCCACAGGAAGACUCAACCGAAAGUCUGCAGAUUGUAUAAAACAUCAUAUAGCUGGUUGUGUUUAAGGAACAUCAACAAUGUCAAUAAUCAGGAUACAAAUAUAUAUGUGUUGGACAAUUUGAGCAUUACCCUGCUAAUCCAAUAUGCCUUUUAGGACGAAAACGCCCAAAAGUUUGUUGCAUUUCUAGAUCAGGCAUCGAUCCUAUUUGGAUCAUUUCUUUAACAAGCUCCAAAGCUUCACCUAUUCUGUUAACGUUUUAUAGGAAGCAAUAUCAGGCACAUAACCCAUAACCACCAUUAAGUUCAAGAACGCCUUCGCCUUAUCCAUUCUGCCAUGCAAACAAUAUUCAUUAACCACCAUACUGCAAGUUAUUGUACCAAGUUUCAUACCGUAUUCAAUUGUUGCCUCAAAUAUUUUGUGAGUCUCUUCUGUCAUCCUACCUUUGCAGAUAGCAUCCAAAAGUAUUACCAAAGUAACGGUAUCAGGCAAGAGUCCCCGGCCUACCAUAUCAUCAAACAACCUUGUGGCUUCUUCCCAUUGAGUUGUACGACACAUGCCAUGGAUUAAACUGCUAUAAGUGAUAACAUCAGGUGCCAGACCUCUUUGAGUCAUUAACUCUAACAUACUGAGGGCUUCCUCCGUCCUCCCCUCCUUGCAAAGAGAACUUAUCAUAUUAUUAUAGGUUCUAACAUUUGGGGCAAUACCUUCAUCCAGCAUUCUAUUAAACAACCUUGUCGCUUCUCUACAUUGGCUGGUCUGGCACAAUCCAUUAAUUAAGGAGCUGUAAGUCACAACAUUAGGCUUUUCCCCCUACUGAUCAUUUCUUCCACAAGAUUCAGUGCCUCUGCUGUCUUCCCUUCCUUGCAUAAAGCAUCCAGAACAGCACUGUAUGUAACAAUAUUAGGCAAGGCUCCAUAACCAAUCAUGGUUUUGAAUAACCUCACACCUUCCUCCCAGUUACCAGACUUGCAUGAUGCAGAAAUCAAGGAAGUAAAAGUGACAACAUCAGGCUUUAUGCCUUUCGUUGUCAUAUUUUCCAACAGAGUAAGUGCUUCUUGAAUUCUUU
rnacentral:lncRNA from 1 species